UUUUUUUUGGUUUUAACAAUUGCCUUUUCAGGCCUUUCUUCCGCAAAGUUCUUCGGAGUAUCUUAUUGGAAGUGCUGCAAACACGUUAUAACAGAAGGCUGUAUAUAUCGACCAAGAGUCAAUUUCGUUACCAGUUAAUGAACAAAUGGAAAGGUACUUUUCUUGUUCUUCGUCUGUGAAGCUUUGUUUUUCGUCUGCAGCUCGAAGAUAGUUGGACCACGUCCAUGGACGCAGUGAACGUCAUAUCGCGAGCAGCUCCCAGGGCACAAGUCGGACUCAAGGAUUCAGAUUGGCCGAUCGCUACCAUGCUCUGUUGUAGGGAAAACGAAGCUUACACAAAAGCUCUAUGUGAAAACGCCUGUGAAUGCUUUACCUGUGAAUCGGGUGAGGCUCCAAAAGCUUGUUGAAGAUGUCUUUCUCGAUUUUGUAGAAGAGGAUAACAGUGAAGAACCUUGAACGCUGAGAGAGGCUGUUUGCAAGACACUCACCAUCCGGGAGAACAGAUAAGCUUGCUCACGAUAUAUGGCAGCCUCAUGUCCAACCUUAUCAUGGCGUCCUCCUGAAAGAAAAAAAGUCUGUUAUGUACAUGCAUAUGAAAAGAGUUACGGCUCCAACAAAGUGUCUCUUUCAGGAACAAUGACAUCUAACAUUGGCUCCUCGGGGAGUAAGCAGCAAGAUCAGGCAAAGGUGGUGACGAAAUAGACGAAGAAGAGACUCUCUCACCUGGUGAAUGUCAUAAGGAAUGAGCAUCUUAACCUUUGUUGUAGCCCUCGUUGCAAACCAGCUUCACCAGAUUGACACCUGGCCAGCAACAAUGGCAUGGAUCCAGCACCACAGUGCACUGAUAUAGGAUCUUUGAACACACUCACUUUGAGGCACUCAAGAUAUUAAAAGAAACACACUUGUUCAAACAAAAGAACACACAUCCACAAAUGAAUAUGAGCACACUCCAAUUUAAACCAUAUUUAAGAUGCCUGUAAGUAACAAAACACUUUCUACUCUAAAACAUACUCCAAGAAACACUAUUAGAUAUAAAUCCUUAAGAGGUGGGGUGAAGCCUAGCUUAACCCCUAUUGCUCCCACUUUUAUUCUCCAGCUGAUUUUUAGGAUCUUAAAAUCCUCUUUGCAUGUGCUUGUAUUGUUUAAACAUUGGAAAUAGUUAAAGUUUAGUGGGAUCUAAAUUAACAAAGUGAAAGAACCAUCAUAAAUGAUUCAAUGAAUCUUUAAGUUGGGGGUUCUAUACUCUUUAGAGGAUGUGCAUGAUGUUGAACUAUUGACAAAUAAUAGUUUGGUGCAAAAGAUAAAAUAAUAAUUUAUGAUGAGAUUACUUCAAAAAAUAUGUUAUCGUUUGAUGAGAAUAUCGAACUUCGUUUAUGGGUGAUAGAGUUAAGACAUAAAUCCCUAAGUCCUAAAAUAGAGUUAAAUGUAUGAUUGUUAAAUGUUGAAUGUAACAUGUUUGAAUUGAAAGCUCUAACUUGAGAAGUUAAAAGUAAGAAUGGAACUCUUAAAGACAUACUUGAAAAACAAAUAUGAAAUAAUUAAUAAAUGAGUCUUUAGAAAUGAACAUAACACAUGAUUAGUGUCGAGACCAAAUGUGAGACCACAUCUUAGAUUGUCUUCAAGAUUAAGUCUAAGAUUAAGUCCGAAAUCAAGUGUAACAUAUAUAGUUUUCAUCCUUUAUCACCAUCGGAUAACCAUAAAGUGGAACUUAACCCUUAGAUAUAUAGGCCAAAGGCAAUAGAAUAGAAUCCAAGUUUUAAAGCUUUAGACCAUUGAAUAAAGGGAUAGAGUAAACUUUUAAGCAUAUAGCUAAAAAGCAAAAGAAUUAAAACAUCAAAUAACUCUUGAAACUUUUAUUAAAAGUUAUUUUGUGCUCUAGUUCCUUUGCUCCUUAUUUGAACCAAUAUAGUUAUGAAAGGCUAGUGUAUAUGAAUAUUGAGGAAUUCAAGGCUAAAGUGAACAUAGAUAGACAAAUAGGAUGACUUAGUGAAGUGUCUAAGAGUCAACUCUAACUACUUCGGGAGAUCGAAUAAUCAAUACUCUCAAUUUAAAUAUAGUGUAAGCAAUUAAAUUUUCUAUUCUACUAUAGUCUCAUAUUUAACCACUUAGAGGAAUCUUACUCACAACCUCAAUAAGUUUUAUUCUUGACUUGGGGAUAUGCAAGUCUAUGAAUGGCAUUUAUGCCACUUAACUUUUGCAUUUGGUCCAAGUGCAAGUUCCACUGAUCUUUGGGACUUCCUCACUAUGUGACCAUGCCUUUGGUUAUUAUAUAAAAACAUUUUUGCUCUUCCUUUCCACAGAUUAGAACUUUAGGAUGACAUUUCGAAAUACUGUGGUCCUACAUAAGCCUUGUAAGUACUCUCCCCACCAUGGUCUUACAUGAGCCUCUUGGACUUUUUUUCGGACACUUUCUUAAACUCUAUCUCGAACUUUAUCUUAGACUCUUUGACACUUCCAUAUGUCAUAACACUUACCAUGUGUCAGUCUUUUUUGUGUCCUUUUCAAAAGACUUAUUUAUCGAUCGCUUCGUGCUCAUUCCUAAAGCACUUCAUUUGGAGUUCUAUUUUUGCUUUCAACUUUCCAAAUUUGAGUUUUUGGUCCAAAUGUGUUAUACUCAUUGGACUUCACUUUAACCACUGCCAUGUGGCACACUUUUAGCUCCACUUUGGGGCCUAGGGAUUUGUGUGUCACAUAUGGGUAGCACUACCUAUUUAGAUACCUUAUGUUGCUCAUUGAAACCUCACUUAUCCAUAUGGUUAAAACACCCUAAUGGCAGAAGGUGGGGAGAGUACCUAUAAAGCUCUCAUUGGCUGUGAUGUUAUCAUCCCAAAAUCUCUAACAAUGGAAAGGGAGAGGAGUGGCCCUUUUAUGUAGUAACUAAAGGUAUAGUUACAUAGUAUAGAAAGUUUUAGAGAUUAGUGGGAUUUAGUGGUUAGGUUGUUGGGCACUAAUCUAGUGUAGUGUUGGUGAGCACUACUAGGGAUGAAGAGGGACUUGGCAGGAAUUAAAGAAAUGAUAAUGGGGGAUAUUGUUCCUUAUGUUUUAAGGCAUCUUUAUAAAUGUUAAAAAGUGGUUAUAGAAUGACUAUUUAUAAAUGGAAGGUUUAGUCUUGGAGAGAUGGGACAGUAGUAAAGGUGGUAUUAGAUUACCAAUGAGAUAGUGAGGAUGGUAUCUUCAACUAUCUAUAAUGCAACUAAAUACAUGGAGCACUUGAAUUAAAUACUUUGUUAGUGUGGGUUUUGAAAUCACCUUUAGAGGCUAGAAAGUUUCUUAAGUUAGAAUAAGGAUUUACAAAGGUUGUGAGUGAGACUCUUCUAAGUGGUCAAAGAUGUCACUAACUGACUAAAGUAGAAUGAAAAAUUUAAUUUCUUACACACUCCUACUUUUUGUUAAGAUUCAAUACAAGAAUCAAGGUGAUAAUAAGAUGGCUAAUACAUUAUCAUGAUGAUGAAGGAUGAUGAAUUCUAUCAUGCAAGAAAGCCAUUUUGCUUUCUUUCUUUUGUGGCUAUUUGUUGUGACAUUAAAGUUGUUAUUUGCACAUCUUUUUUCCAUGGACAUAUUGACUUAAACUUCCUUUAUAUAAAGCUCAUUUAGCUUCUUAAGGCUAUCAUUUGUGGCUAGUUCAUGAGGGAGGGGAGAAUGAUAGGAACCACAAAUUUUUUUUAAGAAUAUUUUAUAACAUGUGGGAUUUAAAGCCAUCAUGCCUUUAGGGUUGGGAAAUUUGCCUUCAAAGGUAUAAGUUAGUGUGCCUAUUAUGCAAUGCAAUAGGAUUGUGAAAAAGCAUGAGUGACAAAGUGGGAGGUGAAGAAGAUAUAUUUUCUCACAAUGGCUCAGAAGUGUGGGGAUGCAAACUCUCUAAAAAGCAGUGGGGAAACCUGGAAAACAUCACAUCGACUUUCAUUUUGGACGAACUCGGCAUCUCCAUCAAAACAGCACUCCUCAUCCCCUUCAUGGAAGCCAAUCUCUUCCCACUGGAGAUCAUGCCAUGGCAACAUACAAUCCAAUACCUCUACAAAACUCACUUUACCAUAUGGCAAGCUCAUGGAUCAAGCAAUUCUUGACUCUCAGUGGCAUGACAUGGAGACGUUGAUGCAGAAGUUUGGCAUGGAUCUCAAUGACAUUCUCAGCGCACUUGAAGAGGAUCUUGAACAAUAGUCGAACAAAGCAAUGCACACAUGGAUACAUGCCAGAGAACACUUGACUAAAUAUCACCUUUAUUGCCAGGAGAUAAACCCACACAAAACUUUUGGAUUGGGCAUGGACCAGACACACCAUCACCCGGUACCACACAAGAAUCCACAGCCUCUUGAUCGAACUUAGAUGCCGUGGACAGGGAGAACUUCCAUGACAUUUUCAAAUCUGCCCAGUCUGCACAGAAGACACAGAGACGGUCAUGCACACACUCAAGGCUGGCCCUCCCUAUGCCGAAUUCCACUCCCAACUGGGGCGCUGAAACACAUAUAAUCCUUGAAGACAACCUCAUCCCUCGCCAAUUACCUGAAACGCAUGGAGCUGUGAUGUCAAAUGCAUAUCACACCUGCAGUGGAGGCAACCAUAAUCAAAGACCUCGAAUGGCUGAGGAAAAGAAGACGGGUAGGCAGGGCUCGUGAGCAGGAGUAUAAUAACAAUGAGACACCAUUGACGUGGCAGUAUUACAUUUUACAAAACUAUCAAAAUAACAUAUAGAUAUUUAAGUAGAUAGAUAGAAAAUAAAAUCACUUAAGAGUGUACUUACACAAAGGUACUGUAAGACUUCAAUAAGAUGUCGCCAUGGCCAUAUCAUCUGAAGAUAGAACAAAUUAAGUUCCAUGGUUCUAUCAAAGCGAGAACUUACAUUUCCAUGAGAACUGUGGCUUGGAUUGUGAACGUGACCCAUAGUGGCUGCAUGAACAAAUCCAAGACGUCCAUCGCAUAUUAUAGAUAUCUGACGAAAAGCGUCCGUAAAUCAAAGAAGCUGCGCAUUGAUGACCACGCGAUCAAUUGAUCUUCUCGAGCAGCAAGGCUACCAUGCCGAUCUCCAGCUCUGCCUCCAGCUCGUCAAAUCUUGCAGUCACUCCAGGGAUCUCUCGCAAGCAAAGAAGCUCCACUCCCAGAUCCUUGGAACCAAACACUCGCGCAAUCGGCACCUGGAGAACCUCCUCAUCGAGAUGUAUGGAAAAUGCGGGAGCCUGGAGCGCGCGCGCGCUGUUCUUGAUGAUCUGGAGGAGCCAAACAUCUUCUCCUGGAAUAUUUUGCUCACGGCCUACAUCGAGCGCGGGCAUCUGGAACAAGCCAAGGAGAUCUUCGCCAGCGAGAUGCCACAGCACAACACCGUCUCCUGGACCGCGAUGCUCACCGCGCAUUCCCAGAGCGGGAAUUUCCAAGAUUCCUGGGGCCUGUUCCAAUCGAUGCCCCGGCGCAACACCAUCGCCUGGAACGCGAUGAUCGCUGCCUGCGGCCACCACGGCCGCGUCGCCCUAGCCCGAUUGCUCUUCGACGCCACGCCCGGGAAGAAUAUCGCGUCCUGGAAUGCGAUGCUAACGGCAUAUUCCCAGAACGGGCACAUUCCCGACGCGAGAAGGAUCUUCGACUCCGUGCCGUACAGAAGUACGGUCACCUGGAACGCAAUGUUGACGGCAUAUGCGGAUGCCGGGCACGUGGCGGGCGCAGGGGCGGUGUUCGUUGCGAUGCCCGAUCGCGACCACGUGUCUUGGAACACGAUGAUCCAGGCGUCCGUUAUGGCGGGAGAAUUUGAGCUAGCGAAAGAGCUCUUCGCGGCAAUGCCAGAGAAGGAUUUGAUCGCGCAGACCACCAUGAUCGUCGUGUGUUCCCAGAUUGGGGAUCUUGGCCAAGCGAAGCGUGUGUUUGAUGCGAUGGAGCGGCGAGAUAUCGUCGCCUGGAAUGCAAUGCUUCAAUCGUUUGCCAGUGCCGGGGAUUUCGAUCGAGCCAUGGAGCUCUUUGAGAGAAUGCCCGAGAGAGAUGUGGUGUCGUGGACGGCAAUGCUAGUGGCGUAUGCCGAGAAAGGGCUCCUGGAUCACGCAAGAGCUCUCUUCGAUUCAAUGCCUCACAGGAGUCUCGUCGCCUGGAAUGCCCUGCUAGCUGCGUAUUCCAGAUCUGGGCAUUUGGAGGAGGCCGAGAGAUUCUUCCAUCAAAUGCCUUCAUGCAAUGUGAUCUCUUGAACCACACUCUUUCAAGCAUAUGCCCUAAAUGGGCAUCUGGACAUGGCGGCUUUAAUCUUCGACUCUAUGCCCGAAAGGAACACCGUGUCUUGGUCCGUGCUGAUCCAAGCAUACGCAAGGCACUCGCGUUUGGAUCUAAUCGAGCGCGCGUUUUGGCGGCUGGAAGAUCAAACAGUGGUAGCCUGGUCAUCGAUCAUUCAGGCAUUUGCCCAGAAGGGGCAUGGCCAGCAAGCGCUAAAUCUCUUCCGGCUCAUGGAGCUAGACGGUGGAGCCUCGCCCGACGAGAUCACAUUUGUAGGAAUCCUCACGGCUUGUGGCCAUCUGGGCGAUCUCAAGGAAGCGUUGCGGCAAUUCUAUUCCGUCACCACAGACAGGAAAAAUCUCGCGAUCACCGCCGAGCACUACGGCUGCUUGAUCGACAUUCUUGCUCGUCUUGGGCAUCUGGGCCCGAUUUGUUUGAGAGCAUGCCCUUCGUCCCGGACCGUGCCGCUCGGAUCUCUUUGAUCUCCGCUUGCAAACUCCACAAGGAUUCUCGGCGAGCAGUCAAAACCACCGAGCGAGCGAUCAAACAGGAUCCAGGACACGCUUCUUCAUAUGUGCUGCUCUCAAACACCUACACCCAGUAGAUCAUGAAGUUCUCCGUUAGAAAAGCUUUUGAUCGAUGUGACAAACCAAAGUACCUAUUGGUAGAGCUGGAAAUCUCUCAGCUGGAGCUUCCACCUGCCAUCGCCAGUCGAGUGUGCUUGAAGAACAUCCGCGCCAACCGAGGGCAUUCCAUCGAAAUCUACGUGAAGAAGUAACACGAGCUCUUGCUUCGAUGGCAUGUAUGGUUCUUCCCCGCCAGCAUCGAAUUCAUCUUCUUCGCUGGUUUUCUGGACGGAUCUCGCGGUGAUGCUGUCUUUGAUCAGCCUCUCGGAUGUCAAGCUCAAAACUCUCGUUCUGUCCAUUCCUCUCAGCACGAUCAUCAAGUCCUUGCGACGAACAAGCGGGAGAUCUUCGGUGGUCUGCAAGAAAGCAUUGAAUAUCGAAACGAUGGAAUGGAAUUUCUCACACAAACCUGAGAAGAGGAGCUGGAAGAACUCGAGUUCUCACUUCCUGACGAAGUUGGCAGUGUCGGUUGCUCGUCACUAGGAGAGAGCUUCUGAUCAAGGAUAACCUUUCCUUCUUCUCCUUCUUCCUCUUCACUGGGAGCGAGCUUUGGAUCAAUGAUAAACUUGCGAGGGACAUACUCGACGCUCCAGCUCUCGGAUUUGUAGAACGACGGCUUCUUCUUCUUGGAUCUGUCCAGAGGCCUCGAUCGGCCCAUGAAGCCGGUUCCAGCGCCCUUGGAGACGGCCUUGGCGAUCUCCCGGACGAAGACGCAUCCUCGCCCGUGCUCGCUCAACCCCCUCUCCGCCACCGAUAUCAAUGCCGCCGCGCGCUCCGGAUCCUCGCAGCACUUCUCAAACACAUCGUCCCAGAUGAGCAUUCCAUCCUCGAAAUCCCUCUGCCUGCCCGAGGAGGAGGAGAACGAGGACGAUGGCGGCGAGCGCUUCUUCUUCUCUUUCUUCUCCGUGGGAGAUUUAGCCUGCGCUCUCACUGCGAUGGAGGAGCCUGUCCAUCCUGGGGCGAGAUUGGCGCGAGGUAGAGGAGAGAAUGCCGCUGCCAUCGCCAAAGACGCCAUUUCUAUCCAGUAAAACCCCAAGGAAGAGAGAAGACCCGAUUCUAGAUCUCUAAGAUGCCCGUGGAGGGCACAAUCUACCUGGAAGAAGCAAUAACCUCGAGGAUCUUGUCAGCGAAACCCUUGAAAUCCGGCAGAUUCAUGGCGGUGUCGAGAUCUUUCUCCGCAGUGGCCGACGCAUCGAUCUUGCUCACGAUCGCCUGGAGCUCCUCGUUCCUGAGCAUGGCGCGGAUCUCCUCCGACGCCGCCACCGCCUCGAGCUGCUGCCUCCGGAGCCUGGUUGCCAUCUGCGAUUCAUCCCCAUUCUCGAAAUCCCGCGGCGGCUGCACGAGCUGGGCUUGCUCCUCCUCCUCUGCCGCCGCUACCUUCGUGCAGGGCGCCGCCUUGUGAUCCUUGAAGCACUGCAGCGAGCAGUAGGGCACCAGGCAGCCCGGGCAUUUGUACUUGGAGACCGCGCCACUGCAAAUGCCGCACUGGCUCAUUGCCCUAGAUCCAAUAAGAAACAUAACCAUGUUUAUAAACUUUGUUAUAUACUAGCUUCGUGUGAAUGGUGCCCAGAAGUACGCAUGUAAAGAGUGCCUGGUUGAGUAGACGAUAACGAUUCCGAAACAUCUGCCAAUCUGAUGGAAAGGAUGCGUCUUCUUCCUCACUCUUGUUUGCUGUUCGUCUCCUUUCAGGGGCGAUCAGCCAAGGGGCGAGCGAACGGUGACAAUGGGCAGCGGCAGCAAUCAGCAACGAUCAGCCCAGGGGUAAAGGUAAAUUCCACACUUGCUGGUCACUCCACCGCCACCAUGGUUAGUGCUAAUGCAAAGGAGCAGGAGACCUCUCAUGCUAACUUUCGGAGGGUGUGUUUCAAUGCUUGUAGAUUUGACUUUGCUGGAGGACUGUGCUAGGUGCUUGUGGCAAGUGGAAAAAUGCAAGCAUUGGGCAGCUAGCGUUUGAGUCACUGCUAGAGCUUGGUGAUGAUCGAGACGUUGCAGCAGCCUAUUUAUUGAUGGUGAAAGCCCGAUGAAGAUAUAUUGUCACGCAAGGAUAUUUUCCGACUUUGUCACGCUGUUCUAGCAGCGCCGAUCUUAAAAUACAGUAUAAAAGAAGUGACAUUUCAACCAGGCUGAAAGAAGGCUCUCAUUUACUCUCAUCCUUUCAGAAGCAGAAGGCAGUAUGGCGCCUGGAUCUAGCACCAUGAGUGAAGAUGCUCAAGGCCACUUUGAUCUCAAGAGCAUGAUCUUCUCGCUGGUGACUCCUUUCAUGCUCAAGGCUGUGGUGCUGCUUGGCAUUCCCGAGAUGAUCUCCAAGGCAGGGCCGCUCUCCCUCAAGCAGAUCGUGUCACGUCUCUCAAAUCCCAAGAACUGUCAGCCGGAUCUCCUCGAGAGAAUCCUCCAGUUUCUGGUCCACAAGCGGGCACUGAGCGAGAAGAUCGAGAAAGAUGGAGAAACGUACUACGGCCUCACUCCAAUCUCAAAGUGGCUCGCGGAAGAGCACCAUCUCCUGCUCUUGUGCACGCACGAGUAUCCCAUGGCCGCGUUCCAAAAAGUGAACGAAGCGGUGCUGGAUGGAGGCCACGCUUACGAGAUGGUCAACAAAGUUCGUCUUUGGGAGCACGACCCCGGCCACGGCGACGAGUACGUGGAGCUGCUCAACAAGGCUACGCUCGCAUGGAGCACCGUCACUAUCUCCCUCGUCCUCGAGCACUACGAUGGAUUCAAAGACGUGAAGAAGCUCGUGGAUGUUGGCGGUGGCCUUGGAAUGUGCAUGGGCAAGAUCGUGGAGAAAUAUCCCCACAUCGAAGGUGUCAACUUUGAUCUCCCUCACACCGUUUCGAGCGCUCCAGCCUUUCCCGGUAAGAUUCAAGACACGUUUUCUUUUGAUUUCUUCAUGUUUUUUCUUAACAGGUGUUGCUCAUGUGGGAGGCAACAUGUUUGAGAGUGUACCAAGUGCUGAUGCUCUUCUUAUCAAGGUACUCUGUCUUCUUUUCCUUGACGUUAUGAUCUUCGUGGUGUUUCUUCAGUCUGUAAUCAUCAAUUUUAGCGACGAGGAUUGCCUCAGGAUGCUGGCGAAUUGCUACAAAGCUCUGCCACGAGGAGGCAAACUGAUAGUGAUCGAGCUCAUAUACUCCAAGGAGAGACCAUUCGAGAUGGAUCUGGACAUGAUUAUGAUCGGCUUCACAGACGGUGGCAAGACCAGGCGAUUUGAAGAACACAAAGCGCUGCUCGAGAACAGUGGCUUUGGCAACGUUUCCCUCGUGUCCGUUCCUUCCAAGGAGCAAGUUAUAGAAGCUUACAAGCUCUAAACAAAGUGAAUAAGAUGUUUGUGCUAGUUGUAUUUUAGAGUUUAUUGUCACCGUUGACAAUAUAGACUCGAGCAUCAUCGAUAAAAAUAAAAGAGUUCCAGGCUUGGAUCAUAUUCUUCCUGGAGAUUUUACCGCUUCAACUUUGGCAAUGGGAUAGGUAACUAAAACAUGAGUCAUGUCCAGAACUGGGGGUUGGUCUUUGACUCUACGUCCAGAGAAGACAUGGUAAACUGGAACGCUCUAUAUAGCAUAUUCACAAAGUUUUCAGCCUCUUUCAUACUUUCGUCUCAGUUUUACCGGUGUUGGGCAGCUAGCAUUCAAGUCACUGCUGGAGAUUGAUGAUGAUCUAGAUGUUGCAACAGUGAUGGUGAAAGCCCGUAUCUUGACUUUGUCAUGCAAGGAUAUUUUCUGACUUUGUCUGGCAGCAUGGAUCUUAAAAUACAGUAGACAAGGAAGUGACAUUUCAACCAGGCUUAAAGAAGGCUCUCAUAUAGUCUCGUCCUUUUAGAAACAGUAGGCAGUAUGGUGCCUGGAUCUAGCUGUCAGAACAGAUCACUAUGUUACUAGAGCAUGGUGGCAUGAUUCUAGGAACCCCUUAUGUAUAUCAAGAUGUGAGACUUUGAAGGUGUAAUACAAAUCUUGUACGAGAGGAAUGAAUGUUCUUUUUGUUUUAGGGUUUCCUUUGGCAUGAGAAGCAAGAUCAUGAAAACAAGUGGCAGAAGAUUGGGUCAUGGGUAGGGUAAGCCCAUCUUUGCCCAAGCGAGGUGUUAGCCCAACAAGUUGUGAACUAGCUUAAUGAGACUUACAUCAGCAUCGUCUAACCAAAGCUUGCCACAUGUACUAAGUUUAGAGCUUGCAGUCUCAAAGUGCAUUCGAUCCAGCACCAUAGCUUGGAUUUCCUGCAGCUCAUGGCACAACAUUUCCAUAGCUAUAUCAAAUUUCUUACUUGGUCUAGGGUUUUUGAACUCCUCUCCUCUCUAGGUUUAUCUAGAACUGACACUCAUUUUUUUUAAUUUCUUUUCUUAGCUCAGCUUAGAAACAGUCUUCGUUGAACUUUUUGAAAAUUGGAUGGAUCCCUUCUCAUUGUAUUGCUGCCACUGCUUGAAUUCCUUCAUUGCCGGAGAUGGGAUGAAAUGCAAGUGUAUAGUGGGUAAAAGAGGGGCCAAAUAUUAGUAUUAUUUAAAUAAACCUAAAGGAUGCCAUAACUUUCUUGAGAGCUUGACUUUUUUAAUUACACCCCUUAAUAUCAAAUUUAAUAUGUGAUGUGAUUCCCCUAGCCAAUCAACAGAAUUGGGCUUAAAAACUUUUGAUUAAAUUGCCAAAUGUCAAAUUUAAUAUAUAGUGUGAUUCCCUUAACCAACUAACAAAGUCAGACCUAAAAGGCUUGUUUUUUUUAUUGAAUUGUUAAAUGUCAAUUUCAAUAUAUAGUAAGAUUUCCCUAGCCAAAUGUUAAUCUCAACAUAUAACAUGAUUUUUUUUACUAAAGACCCCUUUGACACUAAAUAGAAACUUUAAUUGAUUGAAAAAGAGGGAGUUAUUCUUUUUAAUUAUUUACAUUAGCUUAACAAAUGAGUCAUUACCUAUCAAAGAAAGAAAGAGGUAAGUAGAUAAAUCAAACACAAAUAGAUAUUAGAAUGAUUAGAAUGGGAAAAUGGUUGAGCUUUGAGGAUAUUAGAUUUUAAGUUUUUGUUAUAGCAUAAUAAUGUAUUCAAGUGGCUUUUAAUUAUGGAGGUAAAACUCAACAAAAAUAUAUUUUUUAGGAAUUUUUUUAGAAGAGAUCAAUCACUAGCAGUGAUAUCUUUAAAGGAUGUAGUAAAAAUGCAAAACCAAUUGUAUCAAAAAUAAUAUAAAGAUUUUGAGUAAAAGAAUAUUAUUGCAAAGUCAAUUCUCAUUUAGAGAGUGCACUAAAAAACUAUUCUCAAGGUGAAGAAAUAUCUUAAUUCAUUAGAAGUAAAACACUCUUCAACAAUUUUAUUACAAAUAAUAAUAAAUGAUAGAUAUAACUAUUUUUUUUUAUAAAUGGUGAAUUGUAAGUAAAGAUAUCAAGAGAAAGCUUAAGAUUAUAUUAAGAAAUGACUCUUCGCAGUGAUAAACUUUAAAGUAUAAAAUUGGAUUUUUCAAGUGCUAUUAGAGUUUUAUUAAUUUUUUUAUUGAAUGAAAAGUUUUAAAUGGCCAAGUUGAAGCUUCAAGAAACUCAAACAUGACAAAGUUUUGACCAAGUCAUUACCAACAUUUAUCAUUAUGCAAGCUUAAGUGGUAUUUUUGAAGUUAAAAAUAAACAUAAAGAUAAUAAUGACUAAUAAAAGGAAGAGAGAUAUGGCUUUAGUUGUGAGAAUGUCAGAGCACUUCUCCAAUAAUAUCUAGAAGCCAACUUAGAUUUUGACACUUCUCAAUCUCAGCAUAAUCUGUAUGAAAACUAGAUAAGUCCUCAAAGUUUAAAGUACUUUCCAAAAAAUCAUCAUGUUCAUUAUAGUGUAUUAUUAUAAAAGUGACAACUAAUCCUUUACAUUUAUAAUUGCUUUGUGAAUUUAGAAAAUUGGCUGUAACAUAUCCAAAUCUAUAACAUUCAUUACAACAUAUUUCAUAUGAGACUGCUCCACCGAAUUCUUAGAUGUUUUUGAAUUAUAUGAAGCUACACACCAUAUAACAUUGGACAAAACUCUCUUUUAUCAAAGCAAAUAUAAGAAGUUUUCAAUGUCUACAAAUACUAAAAGUGGUGAGGAUUUAUGAUUAAUUGCUUUUGGUACAAUCUAUUUUCCCAUUUUCAAUCUUAAGAUUACUAAUGUUUUGUAUAUCCCUAAGCUUGUUUGUCAUCUUUUAUAUAUCUCUAAGCUUUUAAAACAAGGAAUCUAUAUGGUUUUCCAUAGGACAAGAGCAAAUUUCAAUUUCAAUAAAACUCAAAUAACUUAGGCUACAUAUAUAAAUGGACUUUAUUAUGUUUCUUUAGAUACUUUGGCAGCUCAUACUAUUUCAAUAUUUAAUGAUUCUGUAUUAUAAUUAUGGCACUAUGGAUUAACAUAUGCAAGUUUUUGUCGUGUUACAAACACUAGCACUGUUAAAUGGUAUACCAUAACUGGAAAGACCAAGUCUAGAAGAUUGCAAUGCAUAUUUUCAAGCAAAAAUGAAGAAGCCAUAACCCAAAAAGGUAAGACUCAAGGUACUUUUUUAUUAGCAUUAGUUCAUAUAGAUAUCUAGGGUUUAUCUGAUUUUAAAUGAGACUAAAUAUUUCUUACUAAUUGUGGAUGACUUCAGUCAUCACACUUUUGUUUACUUCCUAAAAUAAACUCCUCUCAAAUUUUACAAUUCCAUUCAAAUAGUCUCUGAAUUCUUCAUAUUGAUGGAGGCCAAAAACUACUUUUUACAAAGGUCCAAACCAUCCUUGCAAAUAUCCACACUAUACGAUCACAAAUAAAAUGGAGUUGUAGAGAGAGAUGCUCACUAUUUUGGAUGUUUCUCACAAAGCAUAUGUUUCAUAUAAGCAGAGGCAGUCAAUACUGCAGUAUAUUCAGAAUGUACUACCCCUUCUGAAUUAUGGACAGGUAUGAAACCAUCUUUUACUUACGUGCUUUUUGCUGUAUAGGAUACUCCCAUACCUUUGAUGAACAAAGACAAAACAAGUGGGAAGAUAGGACUAUUAUAUACAUGAUGCUAGGCUAUAGCAAGACCACAAAAGAAGGAUAUCAAGUGUGGUUUUUAGCCAGAAGAAAUUCCUAGUUUGGAGGACUCGUCUCUUUAGAGAAAUGAUCCCUACAUACUCAACUUCUACUUCAAUUGGAAGUUCUAAUACUUAGGUAUUUAUCAGACUUCAAUCUAACUGUGUCUUGGCAGCUUGAGGAACAACGAUGUCACUCCCUCCAUAACCACCUCCACUGAUAAAAACAACUGCCAGCAGAUUUUCCUCAACUUAUAGUGAUUUAACUAUAGGUACUCUUAUGUUGAAAGUUCUAUAGAAGAACAAGACGUUGAACAAACUAUUCAAAUAGAGCUUGAACGAGAAUGGAUUCCUAGCAUCACUCAACCAGAACCUAGAAGCCAACAAGAAAUAUUCUACAAUAUCAUGCUUAGGUUGCUCAAGUUAUCCAAGAACCUCUAACUUUACAGGAAGUACUUGGAGGACCACAAAGAUUUCACUGAAAGGCUGCUAUGCAAAGUGAGUAUAACGCUCAGCUUGAGAAUGAUACAUGGAGCCUUGUUCCUAGGGAGUCUAUACCUACAGGCACAUCGAUUAUAAAGUGUAAGUGGAUCCACAACCUCAAAUACAAGGAGUCAAACGAGAUCGAACACUAAAAGGCAUGGUUAGUAGCAAAAGGAUGCAGCCCGUUCUUGGAAUAUGCCGUUAGCAUCGCAUUCCAGGACGAAGAGCAAUCGCGAUCAUCGCGUUUCAGGCGAUGGUGUUGUUCCGUCGAUUGGAACAGGCUCCAGAAUUCUUGGAAACUCCCGCUCUGGGAAUGCGCGGUGAGCAGUGCAGUCCAGGAGACGGUGUUGUGCCGUGCCAUCUCGCUGGAAGAUCUCUUUGGCUUGUUCCAGAUGCCCGCUCUGCCAGGAGAAGGUGUUUGGCUCCUCCAGAUCGUCAAGAACAGCGCGCGCGCGCGCUCCAGACUCCCGCAUUUUCCAUACAUCUCGAUGCUCUCCAGGUGCCGAUUGCGGGAGUGCUUGGUUGCAAGGAUCUGGGAGUGGAGCUUCUUUUCUUGGGAGAGAUCUCUGGAGUGACCGCAAGAUUUGACGAGCUGCAGGCAGAGCUGGAGAUCGGCAUGGUAGCCUUGCUGCUCGAGAAGAUCGAUUGGAGCACAAAUACCUUCUUCUCGCAUAUUCACGUUUUAGGUCUCCAUUUGAUAUUGCGAUGCGCAGGUUGCGUUCUCUACUCGCGUUGAGAAGGGGUGAGUGGUUCCUUGUCUUGAGCGCUUUUACUCUUGACGAUUGGAUCAAACGUUGUGUGUAGGCUUUUGCUCCUCCAGCGGUAGUGGUGAUUACAUUCUUAGCUGCGUCAGCUCGAGUGAAGAGGUAUGCAGUACCAUUGAUUGAAUGAAGAACACACUAACGAGGAUUUUAGAUCGAGAUUCAUAGUGUCAAAGCCGAUGCUCUCGUUCGGCAAGCUCAGAGAACGCUUCAAACUUCUCGAAUGGUAUGUCGAGCCUGCUCAUUUCUCGGAUUGGUUAUUGUUUUUUCUCCUUUAGUCGUCGAUUGUUCUUGGUAAUGCGAUGAUGGGAUCGGUUCUUUUCAGCUCGAUUUUUCCCGAGGCGAAUGCUAUCACGGUGCGAUGCGUUUUGCCUUUCUCUAUCAUUAUUUGCAAGUGAGUUGAUGAUGUUUUUCGUCAGAUAUCAACUGUAUGCGAUGGACGUCUUGGAUUUGUUCAUGCGGCCACUACAUUUGAUGGUUUCACGACGGGUCACGUCCACAAUCCAAGCCACAGUUCUCAUGGAAACGUAAGUCCCCGCUUUAAUAAAACUAUGGAACUUAAUUUGGCAUAUCUUCAGAUGAUCAUGGCCACGGUAGUCAGAGAGUGUGACAUGCGCCUGUCUAUAAGCCUAUCGAAGUCUCACAGAACAUUUGUGUAAGUACGCUCCAUCUAGCAAGUGAUUUUCGUUUCUAUUCUUCUGUUCUUUUCUCAUUUUGUAGGUCCCCGAUGGGACCAUCUCGUGAAGUUGCAGAGAGCUUAGCAUAUUUUCUUUGGAAAAACCAGAAGGUAAUAUUGAUUGGUCGCUCUGUUUUCUUCACGCAUUGUCUUUCAUCCUUGCAGAUGGAUACAGCAGCUAGCUUAGCUAUGAAAUUUGACGAACACAACAUUGUAAAGACUGCCCGAGGUUUCAUUAUUCAGGUAACCUGAUUAUUUUCCAUGUUUUGGUAUAGAUAAACUCUUGUGUUUGACCGCAGGUGUAUCCUCUGUCUGAAAAAUUCGCCUGCCAUCAGCUGCGCGAGAACAUUGAAAACUCUCCUUCACUUGCUGAUCUGGACGAUACGGACGCAAGAGACAUUAUUGAGAAGCUUCUGCAUGGGAUUGAACCUGGCAGUUUUUCACAGCGUGAUCUCAAAUUCCAACCUGUUGGUGAAGAGGAGCAGCAGAGGUUUCUGGGGCAGCGAGAAAAGCUGUUUUCUUCAAACCAGGCAAGAACCUAUGAGAAAAUGAUUAACAAUCCUACAUCGCAGGACUUUGAAGAAACAAAGCUCCCACCUCAGCAUCCGUCCGACCUCUAUAAGCUUGCCAAUGGCGCGUUUACAAGCAAGAUUGGAACGACUCGGAGGGGACCUCGCAGACCAGAAAUAAGGAUGCCGCGCAUGGUACACACACCUUCCCGUGAGCGUUCUUUCAAGGUAUUCACUUUCUGAACUAGUUGACAGGGGAAAAACGAAUGGCGCUGUUGUCAUGUAAAAUUGCUAAGCUAUCUUUGCGUCGUGCAGCGACAUGGUGGGAUCAAUGAGCAGGAAAUGACGGAGAAUGGUUUCGAACAAAGGAAAAGGUGAUUUUUCAUUCAUUCGUAUAAGCUUUUACUUUUGGUGGAGCAAGGUGGUGAACGAAACGGGUACUGCUGGAUGGUAUCAGCCAGGGAGAGGACGACACGGCUGUCCAUGGGCUACACCAGUGGGACGACCACGAAAUCAUAUGUGUGGUUCCUCACACUCAAAAGGAUUCGAGUAUGGAAUGUUGUGGCUGUUGUUGGAAGGAGCAACGUAAGGCUCGAGAAUGCGGGUCCUGUGAAAACCAGGUCAACAUAGAUCAUAGAAGAACGUCAGAGGUGCCAUCUCGUCAAAGCUUUGGAUGUCAAUUGUGGGAGGCGAGUCGGUGCUGCCCAAGGGGAUAAAGUUGCCACUCGCCACGGUGGUAGAGCCGUAUUGGAUGGGCGAUUCAUCCUUGAUACAGCAACUUCCAAUGCCAUCUUUCUCACUCCAGUGUUCUUGUGUUGCUUGUAACACUCUUAAACGCAGUAAAAUUGACGGGAGACAAUUGUAGUAGUUAAAUAUUUUGGUUUAUAACCUUUAGUAUGAAUUUAGAGAAUCUUUUAAGUCUAUUUUCCGUGCAGGUAGGUAAGACCUCGACUGAAGUUUCGACUUCCGAGUGCCAGCAAUUUGUAAACCGCGUGACUUUUUCACCAUGGAAAAGGGGGUUGCACUCCACCUGGAAAGGGAGUGUUAAAAUCAUAACUUGCAACUUGUAAAAUAUGCUUGAACUUUGGCUAAAACUGCGUCUCCCCGACGUCUAAUUGCAGUAUUUCUGACUCUUUAUGGAGGGCCCUGCGCAUCUCGUUUCUGCAUCUUUGUUUUUGAAUAAGAGCCCAGAACAACAAAGAGCAGAUUAUAAGGGCUAUAGUUGCAGUAACACUGCAUAUGCAAUGGCAAGCUAGGAACUCAUUCCAUGGGAUGGUUUGGAAAUUGGAACUUGAGAAAGGCAGCAUGGGAAAAAAAAGAGAGCAUUCGAGGCCUCAAGAGCAUUAUUUAUGUAAUCUUAUAUGGAACAUCUUGUUGCACCGUUCAAGGUUUAGACGGGGUCCCUUUAGGAGGUAAAUAAUUGUCCCCCACGCAGAUGAUUUUACCAUUACGAAUGAGAGCGCAUCUACCACCACUGUACUGCUGCCUGAUGGUGCAGCAAUUCUGACAGUGUUCCGGGAAUAUUACAUCGCCGCAUUGGAGGAUAGAGUCGGCAAGGCAUUCCUUCGUGCAAGCUGCAUGAAACACGUUUAGCGAACCCCCAUGAAAUGGAGACUCGACUCAGAUGAAUAAAGAUCGCUGGAUUCAGCAUUUUGCUUCCUUACCUUGAGCUUCUGUUUUUCCCAGCAGCACCAGCAGAGCUGCGAGCAGUAAGCAGAGCGAAAAUAAGUGAGACCUCAUUGUGGGCGACGAGGAGUAAGAAGCGAUGCUUGAAUGCUUGCUUUCGUGGGGAUUUUAUAGUCAGCUGGAUUUUCUGCUGGAUAGAAAGUUCCUGGCCUGUGCUUCUCUAGUGAUGUGUUUGUAUCUUUGCGCUCCUGGUUUAGCAUGCCGUACACGGAAAGCGCAUCGACGAAAGGUGAGCGAUGAUUUUUUAUCCUGAUUAUCGUGUGCUUAUCCUGAUUUUCGUGUGCUCGGUGUUCUUGGUAGCCCAGUCAAGAAAGUACCAGAGUUGAAUAUGAGAUGAAGCUACAGAACGUCAAAGAAACACGUGGAAAGAACGCAUGAAAAUUCGAUGGUUAGGCUUUUGGAGGAGGCAUAAAAAGUCUCUCAAAACCUGCAACUUGAGGAGAUUUUACAAAUUUUCCUGUCAAGGACGUAGUAUCCUCGACCCCCAUAGCUGCAGCCUUUAGGAGCACUGUUUCCUGGAACGCUAUGCUUCACGGCUAUUCUGGCGACUCAUUGUUAUUAAGACAAGUUAUUCUUUUAAAACCAGGCCAGAACCUGUCCAACCCAAUGGAGCAUUUACAAGCAAGAUUGGAACAACUGCCAAGGGUCACUGUAGACCAGAAAUAAGGAUGCUGCGCGGGUACACAUGCCUUCAUCAAAGUCACGAGAAGGCAUCCUUUCAAGGUAUUCUCUUGGUAUUAAUCAUAGCCAAUUGUGAAAGGUGUUCUGCUAUCCAGCUUAGCGGCUCAAAAUGCUAUACAUGGUAUCCACAGGGAACAACCUCACUGAAGAAGCUAGAGCAGCAUUUCUGGAGGAAUUUAAAAGAGCAGUGUAUGCAACGUGGUUGGCUUGGAAUGGCAUCGUGUGGAGCAGCUCUUGGGCCUCUGGUAUCUUGCCGGCCCGGCCAAGGAUGUCGAUCAUACAGCAGUAGUGAUCAAUUGUCUCAGCGAUGGAGUGAUUGAAGCUCAUGGAGAAGAAGUGGUGGAUUGCCAGAGCGAGCAAGCCAAUGUGGUUACAGGCGAUCAAGGUGGCGAUGAGAGUGGUGGCAUCGGGCUCUACUCCUUCACACGCCAUCCUCUUGUAAAGAUCCAAGGUUUCUACGGCGUGGGCGUUCUUGGCAUAGCCAUGAAGCAUCGCGUUCCAGGAAACAGUGUUCCUCUCCGGCAUUGUCUCAAAGAUCUUGCGUGAUCGAUCAAGACGUUGCUGCUAUGGCCUUGAGAGGGAUCGCUCCUCAAUUUCCCCAUCUUGGGCAUGUGCUACAAGAACAAGUUCCAGGCCAGUGGUUUUUCUGAGGGAAAGGUUUCGAGAAGAUUUUGUGCUUCCUCCAAACCAGGCAAGAACCUAUGAGAAAAUGAUUAACAAUCCUACAUCGCAGGACUUUGAAGAAACAAAGCUCCCACCUCAGCAUCCGUCCGACCUCUAUAAGCUUGAGCAAGAUUGGAACGACUCGAAGGGGACCUCGCCGACCAGAAAUAAGGAUGCCGCGCAUGGUACACACACCUUCCCGUGAGCGUUCUUUCAAGGUAUUCACUUUCUGAACUAGUUGACAGGGGAAAAACGAAUGGCGCUGUUGUCAUGUAAAAUUGCUAAGCUAUCUUUGCGUCGUGCAGCGACAUGGUGGGAUCAAUGAGCAGGAAAUGACGGAGAAUGGUUUCGAACAAAGGAAAAGGUGAUUUUUCAUUCAUUCGUAUAAGCUUUUACUUUUGGUGGAGCAAGGUGGUGAACGAAACGGGUACUGCUGGAUGGUAUCAGCCAGGGAGAGGACGACACGGCUGUCCAUGGGCUACACCAGUGGGACGACCACGAAAUCAUAUGUGUGGUUCCUCACACUCAAAAGGAUUCGAGUAUGGAAUGUUGUGGCUGUUGUUGGAAGGAGCAACGUAAGGCUCGAGAAUGCGGGUCCUGUGAAAACCAGGUCAACAUAGAUCAUAGAAGAACGUCAGAGGUGCCAUCUCGUCAAAGCUUUGGAUGUCAAUUGUGGGAGGCGAGUCGGUGCUGCCCAAGGGGAUAAAGUUGCCACUCGCCACGGUGGUAGAGCCGUAUUGGAUGGGCGAUUCAUCCUUGAUACAGCAACUUCCAAUGCCAUCUUUCUCACUCCAGUGUUCUUGUGUUGCUUGUAACACUCUUAAACGCAGUAAAAUUGACGGGAGACAUUUUGGUUUAUAACCUUUAGUAUGAAUUUAGAAUAUACAGCUUUGUGGCUUGAUCUUUUAAGUCUGUUUUCCGUGCAGGUAGGUAAGACCUCGACUGAAGUUUCGACUUCCGAGUGCCAGUGUACGCAAUUUGUAAACCGCGUGACUUUUUCACCAUGGAAAAGGGGGUUUACAAAUUGCACUCCACCUGGAAAUGGAGUGUUGGCUUUUAAAAUCAUAACUUGCAACUUGUAAAAUGAAACGCACAAAAUGCUUGAACUUUGGCUAAAGCGUCUCCCCGACGUCUAGUUGCAGUAUUCUGACUCUUUGGGAAGGGCCCUGCGCAUCUCGUUUCUGCAUCUUUGUUUUUGAAUAAGAGCCCAGAACUACAAAGAGCAGAUUAUAAGGGCUGUAGUUGCAGCAACACUGCAUGCAAUGGCGAGCUAGGAACUCAUUCCAUGGGAUGGUUUGGAAAUUGGAACUUGAGAAAGGCAGCAUGGGAAAAAAAAGAGAGCAUUCGAGGCCUCAAGAGCAUUAUUUAUGUAAUCUUAUAUGGAACAUCUUGUUGCACCGUUCAAGGUCUAGACGGGGUCCCUUUAGGAGGUAAAUAAUUGUCCCCCACGCAGAUGAUUUUUCCAUUACGAAUGAGAGCGCAUCUACCACCAUUGUACUGCCGCCUGAUGGUGCAGCAAUUCUGACAGUGUUGCGGGAAUAUUACAUCGCCGCAUCGGAGGAUAGAGUCGGCAAGGCAUUCCCUCGUGCAAGCUGCAGGAGCGAACCCCCAUGAAAUGGAGACUCGACUCAAAUGAAUAAACAGCAUUUUGCUUCCUUACCUUGAGCUUCUGUUUUUCCCAGCAGCACCAGCAGAGCUGCGAGCAGUAAGCAGAGCGAAAAUAAAUGAGACCUCAUUGUGGACGAUCAGAAUGCUUGCUUUCGCCCGCUUUUGUGGGUAUUUUAUAGUCAGCUGGUCCUGGAGAAAAACGUGCCUGUACGAAAGGUGAGCGAUGACUGUCAGGUGUCUCCUAUUGUGGGCUCUACUUGACUUUCGUGUGCUCGGUAUUACAGGCGAUUGGCAGCCCAGUCAAGAAAGUACCAGAGUUCAAUAUGGGAUGCAACUACGAAACUACUGAAAAGAACGGGUGAAACUUCGAUUGUCAUAGGCUUGUGGAAGGUCUUCUCAAAACCCGACUGGAAAUUCGCACUACUUGGCCAUCUACCAGGAGAUUCGGGCGGCUCAAGCACAAGAGAGUGUAGAGAGAGAGUAGGAGGUAGAGAUGAUCCUUCUUCUUCUUAGUGGUCUUAUGCUUCAAAAGCAUAAGACUCCAAAAGCAUGUAUUGAAAGCACAUGCCUAAAGUGGGCAACUUUGAGGAGACUUUACAAACUUUCCUGUCAAGGACGUAAUAUUCUGGACCACCAUACAGCAUUUUCCCGCAUCUUGAUCAAUCACGCAAGAUCUUUGAGGAAAUGAACACUGCAUCCUGGAACGCUGGCUAUUCCCGUUGUUGAGAGAAGUUUUUUGUUCAAAUCAGACCAGAACCUAUUAUAACAAGAAACAGAACUACCACUCAGCAUCCGUCCAACCUCAAUGCAACAUUUAUAAGCAAAGAGAAAUAAGGAUACUGCGCAGGUACAUAUGGCUUCAUCAAAGUCAUGAGGUAUUCUCUUAAAACAGAAGUAAAACUUAUAGCUGAAGCAUGGUAUAUAAAGCCAAUAAUGUGAAAGGUAGCAUUUUGGGCAGCUAAGUUGGACAACAGAACAUACAUGGUAUCCACAGGGGAUGACCUCAGUGAAGAAGCUAGAGCAGCAUUUCUGGAGGAGUUUAAAAGAGCAGUGUAGGCAACAUGGUUGGCUGUGGAGCAGCUCUUGGGCCUCUGGGAUCUUGCCGGGGCGACCAAGGAUGGAGCGAGCAAGCCUGGCGAUGAGAAUUGGCAUCGGGCACACGCCAUCCUCUUGUAAAGAUCCAAGGCUUCUACAGCAUGAGCGUUUUUGGCAUAGCCAUGAAGCAUUGCGUUCCAGGAAACAGUGUUCCUCUCCGGCAUUGUCUCAAAGAUCUUGCGUUCGAGACGCCCAAACUGCAAACAUGCUGCUGCCAUGGCCUUGACAGGGAUCGCGCUCCUCAAUUUGGCCAACUUGGGCAUGUGCUGCAUGAACAAGUUCCAGGCCAGUGGUUUCUCUGAGGGCAAGGUUUUGAGAAGAUUUUGUGCUUCUUCCAAGCUAUCGUUUAUAUCAUCAAAGCCCAAGACAUUCCAUUUUAUCUUGGAAUCGAAUAUUUCGCGCGCUGCCAUAGCACGCAAGCAUGGCGUUCCAGGUGACCACGUUUCGAUCCCUGGCCCCGUCAAAUACUUCCUUCUUUUAAAUGCCCGCCGCGAGACGAGGAUCAUCCAGGAGACGACGCUCCACGCCGGCAUUGCGUGGAACAAUCGCAAGGUUUCGUCCACCAGGCCUCGCUCGGCGUGCGCCUUGCAUGGCGCUGUUCCACGCCACGACGUCCAGUUCCGGUAUUCGAUCGAAGAAGAGCUCGAAGGUACGCUUGGAGCAUUGCGUUCCAGGAGAAGAUAUCGCGGCAAGGCAUGGCGCAAACAGGGAGUUCGCUUCUUGGAGCUAGCUGUGCUCGGCGUAGGCCUCGACCGCCAUGUUCCAAGAAACCAGGCCCCGCGUUGGAGCGCUGUCGAAGAGGUUCUUGGCAGUGUGGAGAUUUCCCGAUCUGGCAUGGCGGCGAUCAUGAUAUUCCAGGCGAUCACAUCCUUCCCGGGCAUAAUCUCAAACAAGAACAUUUCCUUGUCGAUCUCCCAGCUCCUCGCGUGCGUGACGAGCAUCGCGGUCCAUGAAACCACAUCUCUCCUCGGCAUUCUCUUGAAGAAAUGUCUCACCAUGGCCAGAUUUCCCUCCGCGGCAUACCUCUGUGCCAAGAUGUUCCAGGACACUUGAUCCUUCUCCGGCAUCGCGUCAAACAGUAAGGUCGCUUGAUCCAGGUCUCCACUCUGGUCUCCACUUUGCGUGUAAGCUGUGUUCUAGGCCACAACAUUCCGCUGUGGCAUCCGAUCGCACAUCCGCCGGCCCGCCUCCAAAUGCCUGGAUCUCGCUAGCGGUUCUACGAUCACGGUCUCGGCAAUCACGGCCUUGUAUGGCAUCCCAAGCGACUCCGCUUCCACGCAGGCCGCGAUCAUCAACGUCCACGACACAAUAUAACUACUACAACAGUCUCCUUUUUGGUCUCCCGUCACCUGUCUAUUUUACUGCCAUGCCAAAUUUCUCGUUUUGGUUUCCAGGUUCUUUGUGCAGGCGAAGUUCCGACUUCCAAGUGCCAGUGAGUGCUUCCAGGUUUUGGCCUUUAAAAUCCAUUAGUCCUUUAAAAACCUUUGGGCAGGAACUCAACUUGCAUCUUGUAAAAUGGAACGCAGAAACCACACAAAAUGCAUGAACUUUGGCUAAAAACUGCGUCUCCCCGACUACUGAGAAAACCUUCUAAUUGUAGUAUUCUUAGAGGGCCGUGUGCAGCUGUUUCUGCAUCUUUUGUUUUUGCAUAAGAGCCCACAACAACAAAGAGCCUGAUUAUAAGGACUGCAUUUGCAGCAACCCCUCAUGCAAUGGCGAGCUCUAGAAACUCAUUCCAUGAGAUGGUUUGGAAAUUGGAACUUGAGAAAGGCAGCAUGAGCAUUUCCUCAUGAAACCUUAUUAAAACAGCACCAAAGGAACAGGGUUAAAAAUUGACCACUAAUUACUUGAAUAAUAAUGCUUAUUAUUAUUAAUUAUUAAAAUUUUAUAAUUAUAAACAUAUUUAUAAUUUAUAAACACUGAUAUAGGAAUACAAGAAUGAAUGGACCAAAUUAAGUCUUAAAUGGACGACUUAUAACACAAAAUUAAUUUUAUUUAAAAUAAACUAGGAUAUACUAGGAAGUGUUAAGGAAAAAUUAUAAUUUAUAAAUAGAAGAUAAAUCUAAAUGAAUACCAAUUUGUUAGAUGGUAAAAUAUUCUAAAAUAUUCAAGCAUAUUCUAGAUAUAAAUUUUAUAACUAAAAACCUUUUUAUACAACUAAUCAUAUAUAUUUGUAUAUAUCUGUUAUAGGUGAAGCAGUUACAACUACUUCUAAUGCUCCAAGGUGUGUCCCAUUUUACUACUUACACUCAAGUUAAACUUUUGACCUAUUAAGAAAAAAUAGAAACAAACUACAAGUAAAAAAGAUUUUUAUUCUGGCUUAGUUAAUGCAUUAGAAGAAGAAAGCCAACAAUCAAUUCCUGAACAAGUUAAAUUGCUAAUCAGAAAAUGGAGAUUCAAUAAGGAUUGAUACAUCUUUGGGUUAGAGAUCCUACAGGUAAAAGUUUUAUAUUACAACUAGUUGAUUUAAGAUUUUGUAUUCAAUACAUUCAUAAAAUGUUUGUAGUCACAUGACUAAUAAUAAAAACUUGGCAGUCAAAAAGAAAUUCAAUUUUUAACCCUGCAUGAUGGUUGGAUAGAAAAUCCAAUCCAUUGCAAAUGUAUGUUAAGGCACCUAGUCUGCCUGCUACAAAUUGAUUGCAUAAAGUACGUAGCAAAGACGAACCUCCUCAAAGUCCACUCGGCAGUGUGGAAACUUUGAGCAUUCUUUUUAUUUACGUAACCUUAUGGAACAUCUUGUUGCACCGUUCAAGGUCUAGACGGGGAUGUUCCCCAAGGAGGUAAAUAAUUGUCCCCCACGCAGAAGAUUUCUCCAUUACGAAUGAGAGCGCAUCUACCACCUCUGUACUGCUGCCUGAUGGUGCAGCAAUUCUCACAGUGUUCCGGGAAUAGUACAUCGCCGCAUCGGAGGAUAGAGUCGGAAAGGCAUUCCUUCGUGCAAGCUGCAGGAAACACGUUUAGCGAACCCCCAUGAAAUGGAGACUCGACUCAGAUGAAUAAAGAUCGCUGGAUUCAGCAUUUUGCUUCCUUACCUUGAGCUUCUGUUUUUCCCAGCAGCACCAGCAGAGCUGCGAGCAGUAAGCAGAGCGAAAAUAAGUGAGACCUCAUUGUGGACGGCGAGGAGUAACAAGCGUUGCUUGAAUGCUUGCUUUCGUGGGGAGUUUAUAGUCAGCUGGAUUUUCUGCUGGAUAGAAAGUCCCUGGCCGGUGCUUCUCUAGUGACGUGUUUGUAUAUUUGCGCUCCGGGUUUAGCUUGCCGUACACGGAAAGCGCAUCGACGAAAGGUGAGCGAUGACUACGUCUUAUUUUGUGGGCUUAUCCUGAUUUUCGUGUACUCGGUGUUCUUGGUAGCCCAGUCAAGAAAGUACCAGAGUUGAAUAUGAGAUGAAGCUACAGGACGUCAAAGAAACACGUGGAAAGAACGCAAGAAAAUUCGAUGGUUAGGCUUUUGGAGGAGGCAUAAAAAGUCUCUCAAAACCUGCAACUUGAGGAGAUUUUCCAAUUUUUCCUGUCAAGGACGUAGUAUCCUCGACCCCCAUAGCUGCAGCAUUUAGGAGCACUGUUUCCUGGAACGCUAUGCUUCACGGCUAUUCUGGCGAUUCAUUGUUAUUGAGACAAGUUAUUUUUUUCAAACCACCUACUAUAACAAAAAACAGAACUAAUCUGUAACCAAUGGAGCAUUUACAAGCAAGAUUGGAACAACUGCCAAGGGUGUCAUUAUAGACCAGAAAUAAGGAUGCUGCACGGGUACUUGCCAUCAAAGUCACGAGAAGGCAUCCUUUCAAGGUAUUCUCUUAGCUGAAUGGGUAUUAACAAUAGCUGCCGCUAAGUUGGACAGCAGAACAUACAUGGUAUCCACAGGGAACAACCUCACUGAAGAAGCUAGAGCAGCAUUUAUAGAGGAAUUUAAAAGAGCAGUGGCCGGCCCGGCCAAGGAUGUCGAUCAUACAGCAGUAGUGAUCAAUUGUCUCGGCGAUGGAGUGAUCGAAGCUCAUGGAGGAGAAGUGGUGGAUUGCCAGAGCGAGCAAGCCAAUGUGGUUACAGGCGAUCAAGGUGGCGAUGAGAGUGGUGGCAUCGGGCUCUACUCCUUCACACGCCAUCCUCUUGUAAAGAUCCAAGGUUUCUACAGCGUGGGCGUUCUUGGCAUAGCCAUGAAGCAUUGCGUUCCAGGAAACAGUGUUCCUCUCCGGCAUUGUCUCAAAGAUCUUGCGUGAUCGAUCAAGACGUCCAAACUGCGAAAAUGCUGCUGCUAUGGCCUUGAGAGGGAUCGCUCCUCAAUUUCCCCAUCUUGGGCAUGUGCUGCAAGAACAAGUUCCAGGCCAGUGGUUUUUCCGAGGGCAAGGUUUCGAGAAGAUUUUGUGCUUCCUCCAAGCUAUCGUUUAUAUAUCAUGAAAGCCCAAGAUUCCAUUUCUCUCACACAUGGAAUCGAAUAUUUCACGCGCUGCCAUACAUGGCGUUCCAGGUGCACGUUUCGAUCCCUGACCCCGUCAAAUCCUUCCCUGGCCUCUGAAAUGCCCGCCACGCCCUAGCGCCGAGACGAGGAUCGUCCAGGAGAAGAGGUUCCACGCCAGGCCUCGCUCGGCGUGCGCUUGGACGUCCCGACUUCCAAGUGCCAGUGGUGCUUCCAGGUUUUGGUAUAAAAUCUUUCGGCCUAAAAAUUGACCACUAAUUACUUUUUAUAGUCAAAUACUAUUAUUAUUAAUCCAAUCAACUGGAAGUUUAUAAUCAUAAAUAUAUUUAUAAUUUUAUAAACACAAAUUUAAUCUUGUUAAAUAACUUUAUCCGUCCACUCCCAAAAUGUAAGAAACUUGCUGUGUGUUGCAUGCAGCAACACUUGUUUGCUUAAUAGUACCAAAAAUACUAGAAACCAAUUAUAAACAUGUUUAUAAUUAUAAAUAAAAUAUUAAUCUAGAUUGUAGAAUAUUUUAUCAAAUAUAUUCUAGAUAUAUCCACUAAAUUGUAAAACUAAACAUACAACUAAAGUAUAUACCUGUUAUAGGUGAAACAAAUACAUGUGUAGUCUAAACUUUUGAUGUAUUAGGAAGAAAUAGAAACAAACCACAAGUAAAAAAAGUCAAAAUAAAUUUUAUUUUGGCUUGGCUACUGCAUUACAAGCUAUUUCACUAGCAGAAGAAGAAAGUCAGCAAUUGAUGCCUGAGGAAGUUAAAUUAUUAAUCAGAAAACGGACAUCUAAUAAGGAUAUUGAUACAUUUUUGUGCUCAACUUGUGAAAGAUCCUACAGGUAAAAGUUUUAUAUUACAACUAGUUGAUUUUAAAUUUUAUAUUCAAAUUUACAUUCAUAAAACAUUUGUAGUCACAUCACUAAUAAAGUAAACUAGGCUACCUGUUACAAAUUGAUUGCCUAAAGUACGUAGUAAGACCAACCUCCUCAAAGUCCACUCGGCAGUGUGGAAACUUUGAGCAUUCUCUUUAUUUAUGUAAUCUUAUAAAACAUCUUGUUGCACCGUUCAAGGUCUAGGCGGGGUUGUUCCAAAAGGAGGUGAAUAAUUGUCCCCCACGCAGAUGAUUUCUCCAUUACGAAUUAGAGCGCAUCCACCACCAUUGUACCGCCUGAUGGUGCAGCAAUUCUGACAGGGUUCCAGGGAUACUACAUCGCCGCAUAGAAUGGUAGAGUUGAGAAGGCAUUCCUGCGUGCAAACUGCAGAGAAAUACAUUUACGUUUAGUGAAAUGGAGAACGACUCAAAUGAACAAAGAACAUUUUGCUUCCUUACUUUGAGCUUCUGUUUUUCCCAGCAUCACCAGCAGAGCUGCGAGCAGUAAGCAGAGCGAAAAUAGGUGAGACCUCAUUGUGGACGACGACGAUGCUUGAAUGCCUGCUUUCGCGGGGAUUUUAUACUCAGCUGGAUUUUCUGCUGGCCUGUGCUUCUCUAGUGACGUGUUUGUAUAUUUGCGCUCCGGGUUUAGCUUGCCGUACACGGAAAGCGCAUCGACCAAAGGUGAGCGAUGACUAUAAGGUUUCUCCGUCUUAUUUUGUGGGCUUAUCCUGAUUUUCGUGUACUCGGUGUUCUUGGUAGCCCAGUCAAGAAAGUACCAGAGUUGAAUAUGAGAUGAAGCUACAGGGCGUCAAAGAAACAAAACUACAUGGAAAGAACGCAUGAAAAUUCGAUUGUCAUAAGCUUUUGGAGGAGGCAUAAAACGUCUCUCAGAACCUGAGAACCAUUAGCCUGCAACUUGAGGAGAUUUCACAAAUCUUCCUGUCAAGGAGAGCCCAUAGCUGCAGUAUUUAGGAGGAACACUGUUUCCUGGAACGCUAUGCUUCACGGCUAUUCUGGCUAUUGAGAGAAGUUAUUUUUUUCAAACCAGGCCAGAACCUACCUAUAACCAGAAACAGAACUAAGCUGUCCAACCUCUUUUUACAAGCAAAAUUAAGGGUCCUUAUAGGCCAGAAAUAAGGAAGCCUUCAGAGAAGGCAUUCCUUCAAGAUAUUCUGAAUGGGUAAAUAACAAUAAUUGUCCUAUUAUCAAUAGUUAAUUGUGAAAAGUAGCAUUUUGAGCUGCUAAGUUGGACAGUAGAACAUACAUGGUAUCCACAGGGAACGACCUCACUGAAGAAGCUAGAGGAGCAUUUCUGGAGGAAUUUAAAAGAGCAGUGUAUGCAACGUGGUUGGCUUGGAAUGGCAUCGUGUGGAGCAGCUCUUGGGCCUCUAGUAUCUUGCCGGCCCGGCCAAGGAUGUCGAUCAUACAGCAGUAGUGAUCAAUUGUCUCAGCAAUGGAGUGAUCGAAGCUCAUGGAGGAGAAGUGGUGGAUUGCCAGAGCGAGCAAGCCAAUGUGGUUACAGGCGAUCAAGGUGGCGAUGAGAGUGGUGGCAUCGGGUUCAACUCCUUCACACGCCAUCCUCUUGUAAAGAUCCAAGGUCUCUACAGCAUGGGCGUUCUUGGCAUAGCCAUGAAGCAUUGCGUUCCAGGAAACAGUGUUCCUCUCCGGCAUUGUCUCAAAGAUCUUGCGUGAUCGAUCAAGAUGCCCAAACUGCGAAAAUGCUGCACCUAUGGCGGUCCAGGAUACUACGUCCUUGACAGGGAUCGCGUGGAAUGUCUGUAAAGUCUCCUCAAGCUGCCCAUUUUGGGCAUUUGCUGCAAGAACAAAGUUCCAGGCCAGUGGUUUCUCUGAUGGCGAGGUUUUGAGAAGAGUUUGCGCUUCCUCCACGCUAUUGUUUAUAAGACACGCUUCUAUCAUCAAAGCCCACGACAUUCCAUUUCUCUCGCCCAUGGAAUCGAAUAUUUCGCGCGCUCUGUCUAAAUUGCCCCUUUUCCCGCCAUAGCACGCAAGCAUGGCGUUCCAGGUGACCACGUUUCGAUCCCUGGCCCCGUCAAAUACUUCCCUGGCAUCUUUUAAAUGCCCGCCGCGCCCUAGCGCCGAGACGAGGAUCGUCCAGGAGACGACGCUCCACGCCGGCAUUGCGUGGAACAAUCGCAGGGUUUCGUCCACCAGGCCUCGCUCGGCGUGCGCUUGCAUCGCGCUGUUCCACGCCACGACGUCCAGCUCCGGGAUCCGAUCGAAGAAGCGCAUUCCCUCCUCCAGCCGGUCUGAUCGAAGGUACGCUUGGAGCAUUGCGUUCCAGGAGAAGAGAUCGCGGCAGGGCAUGGCGUCGAAAAGGGAUUUCGCUUCUUGGAGCUGGCCAUGCUCGGCAAAGGCCUCGAUCGCCGUGUUCCAAGAAACCAGGUCCCGCGUUGGAGCGCUGUCGAAGAGGUUUUUGGCAGUGUGGAGAUUUCCCGAUCUGGCAGUGGCGGCGAUCAUGAUGUUCCAGGCGAUCGCAUCCUUCCCGGGCAUAAUCUCGAACAAGAACAUCGCCUCGUCGAUCUCCCAGCUGCUGGCGUGCGCGACGAGCAUCGCGGUCCAAGAAACCACAUCUCUCCUCGGCAUUCUCUUGAAGAGAUCUCUCACCAUCGCCAGAUUUCCCUCCUCGGCAUACGCCUGCGCCAAGAUGUUCCAGGACACCUGAUCCUUCUCCGGCAUCGCGUCAAACAGUAAGCUCGCUCGAUCCAGGUCUCCACUCCGCGCGUAGGCUUCCAACAUCGUGUUCCAGGUCACGACAUCCCGCUGUGGCAUCCGAUCAAACAUCCGCCGGCUCGCCUCCAAAUGCCCGGAUUUCGCGAGCGCUUCCACGAUCACGGUCCCGGCAAUCACCGCCUUGUAUGGCAUCCGAGCCAGCAGCGACUCCGCCUCCUGGAUCAUGUCCACCCUCGCGUAGGCCGCAAUCAUCGACGUCCACGACACCUCCGUGCGCUGUGGCAUCCGAUCAAACACGCCCUGAGCAUCCUCAAUAUGCCCGUUUCGGGCAUACACCUCGAGCAGGAUGUUCCAGGAGAAAACGUUGGGCUCACGGAUGGAUUCAAACACCGCCACUGCCAGUUCCAAGUCACGGCACUUGCCAUACAUCUCCACCAGCAGGUUUCUCAGGUAGCGAUUGUGGCUCUGCACACUCUUGUCGACGAGCUUGUGGAUCCAUCGUCCCUGUGCCAGAGUUCUAGCAUCACGGAUCGACCGAGCCAGCUGGGUAACCAGAGCUUCAUCUCUAGAGGUAAGAAUUGUUACUAGCAUUCACAGUGGUGUGACAGUGGGACGAAGGUGGCAACAAGGAAAUUGGCAAAUUGGACCUUUUGCCUUUUGGGGUUGUGAAAAGGUUUUGGCUUAGGAAUGGCAACUUUGCAGGGGUCAGAAGAAUGGCAUUGGUUGAAAGGAAGUUUUGGAUACACUAAUGAUAUAGCAAGGAUGGAAACCGACAUUUCGAAAAAGUUCACUAUAAAAGAAAAAAAUGCAAUAAUAGAAACAAAGAAAGCUAGAUCUUGGGGUGGUUUGUGUUUAAUCCACUAGCUCUUUGCUAUGUCGGUGGACAGUAGGAAUGAAGUUCAUAUGGUGGUGCUUCCAUAUCCUGCACUAGGCCAUCUUCUUCCCUUGAUCCAUCUUGCAACAAAACUGGCUACAACAGGGAUCAUCGUCACACUGCUCAAUGUGAACAGCAUCCAUGAGAACCUCUCCCGGCAGUGGAGGUGCCCGGAUGGGAUGGAUAUCAGACUGGAGCAAGUGCAUUGUGACAUCUUCAUUCCUUAUGGCAUCGAUGCCAAGGCACUGAAAGACACGGACGGGCUGCUCGAGUCUCUGGAGAGGUUGCAAGCUCCAGUAGAGGAGCUGGUGAGGGAGAUGCAACCGCCUCCAUGCUGCAUCAUUUCCGACUAUUUCAUGCGCUGGGCGGUGGGAAUCACAAAGAAACUUGGCCUCAAAGUCGUCACGUUUUGGCCUGGAAAUGCUGCCUGGAGCUCCAUCCACCACCACACUCAAAUGCUCGUCUCCAGUGGGGACGCGUUCCAAGGUCAGCUACAAAACUAGAUUUUUUUUUUUCUUGCAUGAUUUUGAUCGAGCAAUCUAGGCCUCGACGAGAACAAGCUCAUUCGCUACGUCCCAGGUCUCGACGCUUUCAAGUGCCGCCACCUCCCGAGCUACUUCCGGAGGAAGCUGGUAGGAUUCAUUCUUGAAUUUUUUAGUGUCUCAGCAGACCGCAUGAAGGAUGCCGACUGGAUCCUGGUGAACUCCAUCUCGGAGCUGGAGACCCACGCCUUCGAUGCGAUGCAGGGAGCUCUGGCCAACAAGAACUUCGUGUCUGUGGGUCCGCUCUUCCCAUGCCACACCAGCCCGCGGGUGAGCCUCCGCGACGAGAAGAGCGAGUGCCUGGAAUGGCUCCACACCCAGGCCACAAGCUCUGUGCUCUACAUCUCGUUCGGGAGCUUGUGCCUGUUUCCCGAGCGCCAGAUCGUGGAGCUCGCGGCCGGGCUGGAGGCGAGCAAGCAGCCGUUCCUCUGGGCGGACGUCCGGCACGAGUUCGUCAGCAGCGAAGCUCUCCGGGGCUUCGCCGAGCGAUCGAGGCCGAGGGGGAUGGUGGUCUCCUGGGCGCCGCAGCUCCAGGUCCUGGCACACCACUCCAUCGCCGGAUUCCUCUCCCACUGCGGCUGGAACUCGGUCCUGGAGAGCAUCUUCUAUGGCGUGCCACUGCUGGGCUGGCCGUGCCACACCGAGCAGAGCAUGAAUUGCAAGCUCGUGGAGGACUGGAAGAUCGGGCGGCGGCUCUCGGAUGAUCAGGACGUGGCGCGCGGGCGAGUGGAGGAGGUAAUCCGGGAUUUCUUGGAAGGGCAGGGCAUGGGCGAGAUCCGGGCCAGAAUGGCGGCGCUCAGGAGCACGGUGCGCUCCACGACCGACCAAGGGGGAACCUCUCACGGAAACCUCAAGAGAUUCGUUGACGCGGUCAAUGUGUCCGCCAUAGCUGGCACCACUUGGCAUGGCACGAGCCGCCCAUGUGGCAGCCCUAAGAACGACGCCACGUAGCCAAAGCCACGUGGCUGUUCAGUUUGUUUUAGUAACGGGGUUAAUUAACUUUAACCAUUGCUAGUUUAACUCCAAGAGGUUUUGCGCAAAGAGGCGCUUGUGCACCCAAUACACGAUCAAAUCCGCCGUGAGUUUCUUCUCGUCGAUCAAGAAUGGCUCCACGGUGCUGGGAGGUGAUCCAUAGGCAGACACCGAAAAUCCUCUAGCACCUUUUUGUUCCAAAAGUUUUGAGUGUCGAUUUUGAGUGCAAAAUGGCAGAAUCCAUGCACGUACCUUCCAAGCUCGCGUCUGGGAAGUAGGCCCAGAAUGUGUAUGGAAUGCCGAGCUUCGAGAAAGAGCCCCUUAGCUGCGAUUGCAAAGUGGUGAUUGGCAAGGAUAUCGCGAUCUCAAGAGGAGACGAACCUGGUCGUUCUCGAAGCAAACUUCUACGUCGGCUAGGUUCUCUUCCUUCGCCAGUUUUGCUUGGAGACGCGGAGCGACGUCUUCUACCAUGAGAGCUGGAUAAGUCUUGGCUGCGGGCUUCUUUGGCUUUGGCUUUGGCUUUGCUGCGGGCUUUUCCGGCUUUUCCUUUGCCGGGGGAGGAGGAGGAGCCUCCUUGCCUGUGUUUUGCGAGCACACGAAUGAACACGAAUGAACUAGCACGAGACAUGGAAGAACUUGUAUCAAACCUGGGGCAGACUCCGCUACGAUGAGCUCGUUGUUGAAGCCACCGGUACCAUCGGAUGCCAUCGGAGAGUCCGGCGAGUGCAUCCACUGGCCAUCCACGAUGAACUUGUACUUGUAUGAUCCCGGAGCUAGCUUCUGGAAACAAUUAGACCCAUGACAGUCUAAUUGCAAGAACUUCGAAGUAGAACUUACUUGCUUGAUCUGAAAUGUACCAUCCGGGCUCUUCUCAAGAGGGACUUGCUUUUGCCACUCGAGGAAGUCGCCGGUGAGCAGCACCUCGGAAGCUUGGCCCUUCCAAGCAAAGAUUAUAUCCUGUGUCACCACUGUACGUGUCUUCCAUCGCACGCACGCACUGGCAUCAGCUGUAUGAUGGACCAAAACUUCCUCGCAAAGUUCUAGACUUACAUGUGGAAGUGGAAGUGGAUGGCCCGUCCGCUACGCUCGCACGCAGCGAUUGUAUGCUCCUCGCCUCCUUUCUUUCUGGCAAACCAAAGCCCUUCGAAUGCCGCAGCUCGAAUCUGAGUAGUGUGCAGCGGCACGGCCUGAUGAGCUGCGUAGCCUCGUGCGGACUAGCAAAGUACGUCAAUCUGCUGCAAGCGGUGGCAGCCAUAGCCACACGAGCUUCGAGGCUGGAGCUGGAGCUCCACCUCCACCUUUACGAGAUAAGUCUGCACUUCCAAGUGGCAACAUGUUAGCCACACUCCCAAAUCAGCAUUUCAGUUUAUUAACCUCGUCAUUACCAGACUGGUACCCAAUCCAGAGGACUGGGAAAUCCAUCUCAGCCCGUUAGUCACGUCGAAACAAAACAUCUUAGUUGCUGUGGUCCCCUUGGGAUUUCCUGGCAUUGAUAUGUGACGGUGCUUUGCUGCAAACCAGCAGCCAGCUUGUUUGCACGGUCACCGCAGAGAAGCUUGAGGCUUACCUCUUGUGUGGGAUUGCAGCAUGAAUUCACAGUCGUAGCUAAAGUUCUAAACAUCCAGCGCCAAAGGUACGCAAGCUUCUUCUCUCCCAGAGUUUGACGAACUCUUCUUCCAGCCAUGGGUGCUACACCACAAGAUCAAACCGCACACGUUGUUCUCGUCCCAUACCCGGCUCAGGGUCACAUUCCACCGAUGAUCCAUCUCGCGCGAAAGCUAGCUGCCAACGAGAUCAUCGUCACGCUGGUUAACGUGGACAGCGUCCACAAGAUGCUCCUCAAGCAAUGGAGCUGCCCACCGGGAUCGGACAUCCGGCUGGAGCAAGUCGAGUGCGGCCUCAAGCUCCCGGCCGGGGUGGACGCGUCGUGCCUCGAGAACCCGGAAGCUCUCUUUGACGCAGUUGACAGCCUCAAAGCUCCGGUGGAGGAGCUCGUACGUGAGCUCACGCCAACUCCUUGUUGCAUCGUUGCCGACUUCUUCCUUGGCUGGCCCCUCGAGCUGGCCAGGACGCUAGGCACCGGUUCCGCAAUCUACUGGCCUGGAAACGCAGCAUGGAGUUCACUCCACCACCAUAUGAAGCUGCUCGAGGCCCACGGCGAUCUCUUCUGCCAAGGCAAGCCAAAGUUCUUGUCAGUAGUAGUCAACCAAGUUUGUGAAAUCCAUGCAGGAGAGAGGGAGGAGGACAGGAUCAUCACGUACAUCCCUGGAGUUCCCGGCCUGGAGUACGGUGAUCUUCCGGAGUACUUCAAGCGAAAGCUCGGGAGCCCGAGUCGCCGGCUUCUCUUCGACUACGACCAGGAUCGCAUGAAGCACUGCGAGUGGAUCCUCGUCAACAGCAUGGCGGAGCUGGAGCCCGAGACGUUCCACGCGAUGCAAGCGGCGCUGCCAGCCAGCAAGUUCGCUGCGAUCGGGCCACUCUUCCCAGUCUCCCACCACGAAUCGCCAGCAGCGCUCAAGGGAGUGAGCCUCCGAGACGAGGAGCAUGGCUGCCUCAAGUGGCUCGACACGCGCGCCGAGAGCUCCGUGCUCUACGUCUCGUUCGGGAGCAUCAGCGUUCUCUCGGAGGAUACGUUCCAGGAGAUCGCCGCGGGGCUGGAGGCUAGCGAGCAGGCGUUUCUCUGGGUGAAUCGCGAGGAUCUGGUGAAGAGGAGCGCCACUCACGACGAGUUCUACGCGGGGUUUCUGGAGAGGACGCGCGAGCAAGGAAUGGUCGUGUCGUGGGCGCCGCAAGUCCGAGUGCUAGCGCACUCCUCCAUCGGAGGAUUUCUCUCGCACUGCGGCUGGAACUCGACGCUGGAGAGCAUCUGCUAUGGCGUGCCACUGCUGGGAUGGCCGUGCCACUCGGAGCAAAGGACCAACGCCAAGCUGGUGGAAGAGGACUGGCGAGUGGGGAAGAGACUGUGGCGGCGAGGCGAUGGAGACACGGUGACCCGGGGUGUCGUGGAGCAGCGGAUUACUGAAUUCAUGAGUGGAAUGGACAAGGAGGAGAUAUGGGCGAGAGCGAAAGAUCUCAAGAAUGUGGCCCGCGCUACUGCCAAUCCAGGCGGGAACUCCCACGAGAAUCUGGCAACGUUUGCGCGAGCAGUGAAGACGAUGACGAUGGGAGACUAACAGCGAAGCCUCUGCCACAGGGAAUCUUCUCUGUCUGGGAUAGCUCCUCUUUCCUCCAUAAACCCUAAUCUAUGAGACAUGAGCUUUAUUUGUUUGCCCAGCUCGUGAGGAAGUGCCGUAAUGCCAGGGAUCUCUUGCAGGGCAAAUGCGUCCACGCGCAAAUCCUCGAGAGUGGGCUCAUCCACGAGCGAUUUCUUGCGAAUCUCCUGGUUGAAAUGUAUGGCAAGUGCGGCAGCGUGGAGGAAUCCAGAGCUGUGUUUGAUGGGAUACAGGAGCCGAAUCUUUUCUCCUGGACAAACAUGCUUGCAGUGUAUGCCCAGAGAGGGGAUUUGCAGAAAGCGAAGGAGAUUUUUGGUAAGAUGCCUGAGAAGGAUCGAGUCGCCUGGAAUGCGAUGAUUCAAGCUUACGCUCGAAGCGGCUGUUUUGGAAAAGCCAAAGAGAUGUUUGAUGUCAUGAGCAAUCGCAAUGUUGUGUCGUGGACGACUGUUCUUGCAGCACUUGCCCAAGAAGGGAAUUUUGAGCUUGCGAAAGACAUGUUCGACAGAAUGCCGCGGCGGGAUUCCGUGUCAUGCAACGCGAUGAUGGAUGCUUGUGUACAAAGCCAAGAUUUUGAAAGAGUUCGAGAGAUGUUUUUUAGUAUGUUGGAGAAGGACAUAGCAUCUUGGACUACAAUCUUAGCAGCAAAUGCCCAAGUAGGCAAUUUUUCUUUUCUGCUCCAGCUAUUUCACAAGAUGCCGCUACACAACGCUGUGGCUUGGACAAUUCUUUUCCUCGCUUAUGCUCACAAUGGCGAUCUUUGCAUGGCCAGAAGAAUCUUCUCUAUGCUUCCGGAAAAGUCUCUUGUGGAGUGGAACGCUCUCAUCCAAGCAUAUGCCCAAAACGGGCAUGCCAAGACCACGCUCGAGCUCUUUAGCUUCAUGGCGAUGGAGGGAAUCGCCCCAAACUCCGUCACCUUUCUCACCCUCCUCGCCGCUUGCAAUCACAUUGGCCUCGUCGAGAUUGGCCGCUGGUACUUCCUCUCGAUGAUCCAAGACCACCACCUCGUCCCCAGUCACCAGCACUUUUGCUGCAUGAUCGAGCUCCUUGGUCGAUCCGGGAGGCUUCGCGAGGCGGAAGAAUUCGCUGCUUCCAUGCCCGCAGUGGAGAUGGCGAUGUCCAGAUCGCUAGUUGGAGCUUGCAACUUAAAUGGCGAGAGUGAUCGUGGAGAACGCAUUGCUAGACGAGCACUGGAGUGUGACCCCGAGAACGCUGCUCCUUAUGUGAUGCUUACCAGCGUCUAUUCCCUGGAAGAUGGUGAGAACUUCUCUUUGUAAAAUUAAUCGAUCACUUCUUGUUGAUAAAUAAUGGAUACAUGGUACAAAUGGUACACUAUAUACCUUCUUCAAGCUCUCUUCUCUAGAGGUGUGAAGAGCUUGUCGAUGGAUGAUCGUGAAGAAAGACGGUGGAAGUCUCGAUGGGCUGGGAGCUGUGCACUUCCAGCUCCAAAUGAUCCGGUGACGACUGGCUGAGGAGAUCCUGCUGCUGCUGCUGGUUCUUUGUCCGGAGGAGAUUUCUCGAAGACGACGAGAGGAGCGCCACUUCUCUCGAGCUCAAGUUCCUAUGCCUCAGGCUGGAUCGCGGGGACUCUUGCUGGCUCUCAGAAACUUCUACAAUGUUUGGAUUGCACUGUGACGACGCAGUUCUUGUCUUUGUUUGCUGCUCAGCCGCUGCCUCGAAAGCAGAGAUGACGAGCACGCUUCCACAGCGCUUGGCUUCAUCAUAAGGAGUACGGCCCCAUCUGUCAGUAGAAGCGUGAGUGAUCGAUCGCUUGCCAGAGGAGCGGACGUUCGAAAGUACCUGUCCUUGUAGAAGAUGCUGGCCCCAGCAUUGAUAAGGAACUUGACAAACGAAUUCAAGCCUUCGGCCGCAGCGACAUGCAAUGCGGUCCUUGAGUAAUAAUCUGCCGCAUUUGGAUCCACUCCAUGGUUUAUUAGACGCUUGAGGAGUUCUAAGUUGUUCUUUACCACCGCGCGGAUGAGCAUGUUUCCGGGGUAAGUUAAGUUGAGCCUGGCUCCCCUCUCCACAAGGAUGCUUGCUGUGUAGUCGUGUCCACCUUUGAUGGCUUCGAGCAACGGGCUGUUGCCUAGAUUAUCUGCGCACCCAAAUGAUCGUUUAGAUUGGAAGUACGCUGGACUGAGAAGAAAAAUACCAAGAGCGUUUAUGUCUGCUCCUUCUCUCAACAGCAACGAGACGAUGUCGUCGUAGCCUUUAGAAGCUGCAAGGUGCUGCAAGACUUGAUCCUGAUGAGCACACAACAAAGAAUCAGCGUCAAUGAUUUCUUACGAGAGGCGUUUUCCCAACGUAGUCGGACUUCACAGGAUCUGCUCCCGUUCGUAUCAGGCUGCGCAGAUAAUACAAGUCGCCUUGAAAAGCAGCGUUGUUCAUUCUCAACGUCAGCUCUGACUGCUGGUGCCCCAGUUGCGAUUGAAUCUCGUCAGUGAGCUGACUUACUCGAAAGUCUCCAGUUUGUUGCUAAGAAACAGAUAAAGGAAAACACCUGAGGAACAUGCUUGGAUAAUGAAGGUUUUCGUACCUUGAGCAGAUUGUUGAGAACUUGGCGACUGUCGACGGCAUAGAUUUGCAUUAUGUUUGUAAGCACAUGCUUGUCCAGCCUUAGUAGCGCGCUCAGCUCCGACACACGGACAGUAUACGGCUGAGGGAUGUUGCAAAGCACAGCAACUUCCCCGAAAAUGUUAUGGUCCUCGACUGUAAAGACUUCCUCAGAGCCAUCUUCUGCAACAGAAACAACUUCCUGAGAAGGAAGUUUUUAAAACGAGAAAAACUUGUUUAGUCAAAAAGCACAGGCCAGAAAUCCAAAACCACUUGCCAGCAGUCCAUGCGACACAAUGUAGAGCCUAUCUGCAGCACUCCCUUGCUCCAUUAUCAUUUCUCCUGGCAAAAAGUAUUCCUUGUGUACGUUGCUUACCUGCGUCAGUGGUGAACGAACAAAAUCCUAUCAGAAUCCAAGAGUCAGAAGCGAAACAAACUUACAAUCUGGUUGAUAAACUCGUUUGAGCAGCUUUUAAAAAGUGGCACGUCCGCAACCGUAUCAAGGUACAGGGCCUGAGAGACCUGGAAGCUCACAGAUUCUUUUUAGUAUCAAACAAGUUGGUUUUGUUUUGACUACCUUGGCACGAAUAGAAGCAGGGAAUUCCUUCAUCACUGUCCGUUCUGCAAGCUGCCCUUCAAACUCGAGCCGGACGUGAGCUUUCAUUUGCUGCCUCAGGUCCCUUGGAAGGCUGUGCAUGUUCAUAAACUUGAUAAUCCCCGCCAUCCGGUCCCGAAACUUCUCGGUGCUCGACCCUCUCACUAUCAAUCCCGUCAUGUUUCCAAUAAGAUAUGCUCCCAGGAUCAUGUCAAACGAAACAAAGAUCAUAACGAAAACCAUCUCCCUGACGUUCACGGCAUGAAUAUCUCCAUAGCCUUGCGAAACAACGAAUAAUUAAUCACGAAACUUUGCAACGAUCACAGAAAAGAAUCCACGUACCAACAGUCGCCAUGGUGAGAAUCGCCCAGUAGAGCGCGGUGACGUAACGCUUCAAAAGAUCAAUCUCGUGGAAGUUGUGGUAGGAAAAAUCGCCAAGCGUGAGGCUGCCGAUCCAGGUGUAGGAUUCCUGCGAGUGUGCCAUGGUUGUUGCGAGGUAGUAGAAGAUGCAAGCAGCCGUGUGCGUGCAGUAGAGCUCCACCGUUAGCAGUUUCGCAAUCCUCGCCACAAAGUAGUGGACGCGAAUGUCCUUCUCCAGCCUCUUAAAGAAACGCUCCACUUUGCGAACUCUAUACAGCCGGAUCCACAGCAUGUAUCGGAUCUCCUCGUGUCUUCCACAAGCCUGAGAAAAAAAGAAGAAAAAAAACGAAAAAAAAAAGAGAAAAGUUUUGAGCGAUCUUCGCGAAGAAACUCCUGGUGUGGUGUGUGGAGUGAGCCAUUGGUUACCUUGUACAGUGCAUCCCAGGGCAGGCACGCCAGGAAAUCUGGGAUGAGAUCCGUCUUUCCAUACCUGCCAAGCGAUUCACCAUCCAAGAACACUGGAAGGAAAUAUCUUUUUACCUCAAAGCGAUCUUCUUGUGGUCCGUGAUCGUCUUGUAGGUGUGGGAAUCCUUGAAGGCCACGAAGAAAUUGAUGACAAUGUCGGCCAGGAAGAUCACCUGGACGACCAUGUCGAAGACCCCGACGCGCCAGGGCAGGCCGCGAAAGAAGCCGAAUUCCAUGGGCGUGAAGAAGGAGGAAUACGCCGCCGACACCAGGAUGAAGGUCGUCCACCAGUGAUGCCAUCUGCGAGUCGCGCCCACUCAGUGAGUGAUCCUCGCCGCGAUCCACCGAUCGGUAUCGAUCGAUCGGGAGUGGAAGAAAUAUUUCCAAGAAAACGCUCUUACCGCGACUCGGGCAGAAUGACAUGGAGCCUUAGGGCUUUAAGCGCCGAGCUACUGGCUUGCCAUUCCCUGAUGUAUCGCGACACUCGCGAUCGAUUGCUCCCAUUGCCCUCGUACCCCUCCCGCUCGAGCCUCGGUUCGUCCUCGUCCAUGGGCGAUACAUUCCAAUCGCUGGAGCUCCAGGAUCACAAAUUCCCCUCUUUGGAGGAUCGACACUAUUGAUCGAUCACAAGAUCGUGAGCUUCUCGAGCUCCAAGCGCCGGAUUCAUGUGUGGCGCACAAGUACGAGAUCACGGGGAAAGCCUUCCAGCCCGUUUCAGUGCUUUGUCGCAAAUUAAGUAGACAAUGCCAUGAAAGCUUAGCUGGACGCUGAUGUGGCACGUGCGUGGAGCUUGCGUGGCAUGGUCGUUAUUAGCCGCGAGGUUAAGACUAAACAGGACUGUAUCAUUUGACUUCCCGUACCAAUCAUGCGCGAGGGAAUCUACGGAUCCAGUGGACUCGGCGGACAGAAUCUCCUUGUGCUAGAUAUCUUAGUCGAGAAUCUCGUGACAAUUCGACACCCACUUUCUAAUUUUUCCACUCGGCUGAAGUUGAGGUUGAUCGAUUGAGAUAAACGGCUUGUCGAUCCCUGCAAGGGCCAAAGCUUACAAAAUCACGCCAAUCAUAUGCCAAUCGUAAUCAUGGUUUGAGCAUAGAUGUUACAAAGUACAAACCCAACUUUCAACUAACAAUGAUGUGUGAUUCGUAGAAAGCAUGAACUGAAAAUCAAAAUCGGCAAGCUUUGUCCAUGAAUGCCACUUCGUAUUUCAUUAGAAACUCUAGAAUGAAUUAUGUAAAGGUUAUUAACUUAUUUGUUGAAUGAUUAAUAAUAUAGCUGUUAAAACCAUUUGGAUCAUUAUGUAGAAUAUACUUAAGAUUUAAUCAUUUAAACAUUCAAAGAGCACUAAUUAUUUAUUUAUUUAUUUAUUUAUAUGCAUAGCUAGCUCCAAAUUUACAGAUACUUAGCUAUAGCUAUAGCGAGCAACCUUGAGCUCAAGCUCUUAAGACUUCGGAAUGAUCACACGCAAAAACCCGUCGCUGCAAAGCACACGAGAGAGCAUUUAGAUCAGAGAGGAAUUGAGCCAAAACUUUCUUACAUAAACUCGGCAGUGGCUCCAUUCAAGUUGGCGUUCUUGGGCACACUCCACACCGAGCGGUAGGGGCCGUAGGAAAUAUCUCGCCGGUGAUAAACCCUGCAGUCGCUCUCGGAACUCUGAGUGAAAGACUGGGAGCUCGACCACCACUCCCUGGAGCGAAAUCCAGUCACUACAAGCCUGUCCAUCCAGCGUUUGGUAAAACGAUGAAACGAGAAAGAAGAAACUUAGAGAAGAGCAUCACCUUCCACGGUCGAUCUCCACUCGAAUUCCUUCGGCGUUUACACCUGGUAGCUCCACCGUCACAAUGUGCUCGGAGUCGGACUCCGUGACAUCCAUGCGAGGAGACCACUCAAAGCCUCGGAUGGAAGUCUCGCGUUUUUCUUCUUCGUGCAAAAAAGGAGGAAGAGACCAUUGCAACUUAUGGAUCGAGAAGAACCAGAUGGAAGUACCUGAAGCCUCGGUAACAGGACGAGAGCUCUUGAUUUGUGCCGCAUGCUUGGACGCGGGCCUCGCAAAGAGUGGAGUUUCAUCUUCACGAGACUUCACUACUUUGCUGCUGGAGAACUCCUCGUCUUCUUUUUUGGCACAGUCGCCACUGAUUUUGCUAGUGUUCUUGGAAAGACUCGCUCGGCUCUCGCCAUCCGGCAUCACCUGAAGAAAGAAAUUCACGGAAUCAUAGAACGGAAAUGGAAACAAAGGAAGAACAUCGCAUUUUUUUCUACGUACCUGUUUUAACUCGGCAGGUCGCAUGAAUUGUCCUCUUGCUUCGGCCCCUUGCCUCGCAAACAUGAGCAUGCUAUCGCGACGAUUUCCCGAAAAUGCGGGGGUGGAGGAACAUUCCUGCGAAGAAAUUCCCAAUUCCAAUUUCCACAUCCAAUUCAGCCUAAAGACUCACCGAUCUAACGAUCAAAGGGCCCGAUUGAAGCCGCAACCCGUCCUCGAGAUGGCACGCCAGGUGAUACAUCCUCGCGCGCGCCUUCUCAUCGAGAUCCAUCUCAAAUUUUCACCGCCAGAGAGAUCGAUCAGCGAGCUAGAGUGCUUACACCGGAGAGAAACCUAGCGAAGAUCUUCCAGAUAUUUAGGGAAGAUCAUAUGAGCCACGUGGAAGUGUUUUAUUAACGCAUUUUUAGGGUUCUUCGUCCAUAAACCCUAGCUCGUCUUAUCACAAAAAAAUGAGGGGUUCACAAAUAGAUCCUCGCGAUCGCUCUUUGCCGGCGCGCAUUGGCUCGAAUUCUAGGACUCGACAAUUCAUCGCGAAUGUCCUCUUGUCUCGGAUCGCGCUGGCGGUAAGCUGAUUCGCGGCAUUGCGAGAUUUUGAUGGCGAGCGCAAUGGCGUUUGGCUGGCCAUACCAAUGGCAGUCCGGAGGAGGAGGAGGGGUGGAUGUAGUCGUCUCUUCGCAGCAACAUUCUCGCAGGCUCAGGAUUUUCUCUCCGGCAUUUAGAAAAGGAGCCGAAUUGCUGGUCACCGAGGACCAGAUUUCGCUGGAGAACACGUUUGUAGCACUGGAAUCGUCACUGGAAGGCCUGGAAGUGCCUAGGCUCGGGGAAGCUCCCGUGGAGGCCGAGAUAGCUUCCACGAGCUCAAAUGGUUCCACUCAGGUGAUCGAAGAAAAAACUCCCGAAAGAAGAAAGAAGGAGUGGACUGGUCCGAUCAGACCUCGCAAACAUCCUCCACUUCCGCCAUGGACGGAAGCACAGUGCCGAGAGAAGCAAACGGAGAUUCUAAACGAGCUCCUCGCCAACGAUCAGCUAGAGGGAGGCGGGCUUCCAGUGGCGACCAUCCUCGAUGGAUGGCUGGGAAAAGUUUCCAGAGUGGACCUCGCCAACGUUAUCAAGGAUCUGGACGCUCAAGGCAAGCACGCACUGCUGCUCGAGGUGUUCUACUGGAUGCAAAGAUGCAAAGGAAGGCUGGUUCCAAAGGCACACCUUUGCAACAUGGUGCUGGGCAUUUUGAGCCGGGCUAGAUUGAUAGAGGACGCCGAGGAGCUCUUCCAGUGGAUCAAGCUCCAGGACUGGGAUAAGCUACGUCCAUACAAUGCGAUGAUAGCAGCAUACUACCAGGCAAAGAGGCCCAAGGACGCCUGGGAUGUUUACUACCAAAUGCUCGCGGAAGGCAUCGAUCCAGACGACGUUACUUACGACAUUCUUGUAAGUGGGAGUGGAAAGAAUGGCUAUCCGAUCGACAGGCUCUUCUUGGAGAUCAAGUCUAGAGGGGUGGCGCUCACGUUACGAUCAUACAACGUCGUGAUCUGCGCGUUCACGAAGGAAGGAAGCAUUGACAAGGUGGAGGAAGUGAUCCGCGAGAUGAUACGGCAAGAGCUCCGGCCGGAUUUGUUCUCGUUCAACGCCUUGAUCGCCGCAUACGCCAUGUCCAGGAAGCCGGAGAGGGGACUACAGGUUUUCAGCAACAUGAAAGCCGCGGGUGUUCUUCCGGACAUCGUGACUUACACCACGCUGAUACAGAUGUUUAGCCGGAGCGCCAUGCACAAGGAAGCGAUCGAAAUGUUCGAGGAGAUGGUGGUGAACAAGUGCCAGCCGGAUUUCUUCGUCUACAGCCUGCUCGUCAGUGUCUACGGCAAAGCUGGUCUUGUGGCGGACGCUCUCCUGAUAUUCCACAGGCUUCAGCUGGAAGGACACAGGCCGAAUAUCGUCACCUACACGUCCCUAAUCUCCGCGCAUCUCCACAAAGGCUUGCUCGAGGAGUCACGCAAGCACUUCUCACAGAUGGAAGCGUAUGGAUGCCGAGCCGACGUCCAUCUUCUAAACACAAUGAUUGACGCGUAUGCCAAGGCCGGGAUGGUGAACGAUGCUGCUAACUUGCUGCACAGACUCACGGCUCAGGGAGUCUGUCCGAACAGAGCCUCGUAUGCCAUUAUCGUGGAGGGAUUUCUUCAUGCCGGACAUGUGGAUGAGGCUCUUGCGGCAUACGCAUCGAUGUCCGAGGCCGGUUUCAAGGAUGAGAAGAUGAGCUCCAGGAUCUCCAGAAGAAGCAGUCCGAGGAGAUGAUAUCAUUUUUGACACAGGUACGAGCUUUUCUUUCUUUUUCUCUCAUUUCUGGCGAGCAUUUGCUCUAGGAUAACUCUCGACUCAAGAGCCCUGCGAGUUUGUCUAGCUUGUUGGUACCACCAAAGCUUACCGGUAGACCGAAUUUUGUUUGUUCAUCGGAGACAAGAGUACUAACGCUAACACUUUCAGGUCGAUCGUCUGGGAUUUACUCCCUGCUAAGGAUAUGGUCCAGUGACAUUGCCGGAUUGUCGAGCCUAUGGUGUCGUUUAAAAGCCGCUGGACGCAUCGAAAGACUCUCCAGGUACUCGGAGGCUCUUUUCUUUUUUUCCUCCUUGUUAGGCACAGCGUUCUUUUCCUUUUGGAAAAAGAUCUAACCUUUGCUACUACUGAUUUUGGCUUGCCAGAAGCUCCAGAAACAUCAUUCUUUGAGAGCUCGUGCUUGUCAACCAUGUAACGAUCAAACUUUUACAUUUUCUUUGCAAGAAUCGAUUCAACGAGCGCUGUAGCCGGAGUUGUUUUCAUUCCAGAGAAAGCACUCGAUCGUUAUCAAUCAUCCAGAGCCCAGAUUAGCAACGAAACAGCGGCCAAACUAUAUAUUAUUUCCUGCCUGCUCUUUCGUCCACUCAGGCCCAAUCCAUCCACGUCUGGAACACUCUCGAAUUUCAAACCUCACGUAAAGAAGCAUAGAAAGAUGGAAGUAUUGUCAUCAAAUAUAUGAUUCUUAAUGCUCGAGAAACCCGUCAUCUUGCACAGGGGUGGUGGUAAUUGCUUGCAUCCCGGGAGAGAAGAAACAAAAACAUUAUCUUAGAGAGGUGGAGGGGAGGAGGGAGAGAUUCAUGUGUGUGGGCACAAAGACGACGUCGAUCGAUCCAUUAAGCUUGCUCGGCUCGCGCGCUGGAGCUGGAGCUGGAGCUUCUAGAGCUCUAGGUUGGCUUGAAGACGAUGAAUCCCGCGCAUUGCACUUGCCUGACCCGGUCGAAUCCCAGCACUCGAAUGAAGCUAGUGGGGAAGUCCUUCUUGCACUCCUCGAUCUCCCUCAACACCUGGGCGGAAUCUUGGCAGCCAAACAUGGGGAGCUUGUACAUGGUCCAGUAGCGGCCAUCGUAGCAUCCCGGGCUCUUGUGGCAUUCGCGGUACACGUAUCCUUUCUGCAAAGAGAAAGAGAGACAGAGAUUCGACCGAAUCCUCGCGAUUUCAGUGCUUGUUCUCGCCAAAAACCAAUGGAGUUUGAUGGCGAGAGGAGCUUACGUCGGAGAAUUCCAGGCAGGGGAACCAUCCCUUCUUCAACAUGUAGUCGAUCUCCUUGGCGAUCUGGUCGGGCGAGAGAUCCGGGAGGUACGACAGCGUCUCAAACCUGGGAUUGUUGUAAGGCGUCCAUGUCUGGGGAGGGGGUCAAGGAGGAGGAGAUCAGUUCUCUCUCUUGCUUGGGAAUGUGGAGCUCCAAGCUUGGAGCGAUUGAUCGCGCGCGAGAGAGGCUACUCACCAGCAUGCAGCUCACACGGCUCCCAUUGGCGACGGUCUUCUGGCUCCAUUGGAGUCCUCCCUUGUUGGCAGUGAGAGCCGUGGUGGCCUUGAGACCUGUGAAUCCGGGGACCUUGGGAGCCAUCGGGGUGGAGAGCGCGGCCAUUGGGAUCACAGCGGACGAUGCAGCCCCCGCCACCAUGGUGGAUUAGAGGAUUGGGAGCUCGAGAUAGGGAGGGGGAGAGAGCAAAGCCAAGAGCAAUGUAGGGCUCUUGGGAGAUGGGUAUAGAUAAAUACUUCGAGAGAGGGAUGCCACGAACCACACACGGGAAUCCUCUCCAGGGCCAGAUAGAAAGUGGAGGGAGAGGAGAGAAGGCUGGCGCGCCCACCGCAAGAGGACGAUAAGACGCGCCAAUGAACGCCACGUGGCGGGGUGCCUAGGCCGCAUAUUCAGGAUAUAGCUGAAGGCUGAUCAAGUCCAUGAAAGUUGACUAGGGCAGGCGUGGCACGGGACCUUGAUUGACUUGGUCAACAAGGGUCAAGGCAAUCAUGUUGACUUUGUUUGCACAGCAGGGCUGUUGUGUUGCCGCCCAGCGCACAUUAUCACCCCGGAUUUAAAAUCCUGAAGCUUAAGCCUGCUGGAUCUAUAGAUUGCGGAACAAGGGGAAGAAAGAUUGGAUUAUAUCUCUACUGUUCUUUCGUGAUCGAUUCAACUCUCUCUACUUCUGUUCUUAAUUUACUCCAAUUGUGUUCUUUCGUGAUCUUCAAAUGGAGAGAUCGAAUUCUCGUCGGGCAUUUGCUGCUCCUUUCAUCGUCUUGGCAGUGGUGGUGAUGGUGAGCUCGGCCUCGCAGGAGCCCAAGCGCCCAUCGUCCGUGAGCUUCUACAUGCACGACACGCUCCAGAACAAGACCCAUCCAUGGACGGACACGGCGGUGGAGGUGGCCGGACCACACCACAACCUCACGGGCCUCGGCUUUGGCAAGAUCAUCGUCUUCAACGAUUCACUCACGGAUGGGCCGUCGCUGGCGAGCUCCAAGGUCGUGGGAAAGGGUCAGGGCGUCUACAUCUACGACCACACUCAGGCCGGGGUGGCGUUCAACGCUCUGCUCCUCUUCUCGGCGCUCAUCGAGACGGGCGAGUACAACGGGACGAUCAACUUCAUGGGCGCGGACGUAAUCUUGGCGCCAUCGCGGGAUAUCAGCGUCGUGGGCGGGACGGGCGACUUUGAGAUGGCUCGCGGCAUCGCCACGAUCACGACGCACUCGAUCGAUGGGGACACUUUCAUCGUCCUGUUCAAGAUCAAGCUCAUCUACUGGUAAGCGAUUUGUUUGUACUAAUCAAGUUUGGGUGUUUUCUGGUUGUACGAAAGUUACAUUCUCAAAACAAUUUUUUCUUCCCUCUCGAGAGUUCUAAUAAGGAACGCUAGAUUUUUUGACCUUGCGUCUCCACCUACAACAUAGAUGAUGGCGAGCGUGCACGCUCACUCCUUUUCUUAAAAGUCAAGCUUUUACGUCAGUGUGAGCGAAGCUCAAAUGAUAACCCAGUGUGAGCAAAGAUCCAUGAUAGCGCAUUCAUCCAAGAACGAGCAAACCGGACACUCACUUAAAAUCCAAGCAAAGCCAAGCGAUCACCCAUCCAUGUCACAGCUACAAAUUUUCCACCAAAGUUAUUAUCAAGUGUUACAACCAUAGGAGAGGAAGACCUGUGCUUUAGCGCCGGCGUGAGGAUCUACACGCCAAGCAAACACACGCCUCCAUAUUAGCCAUAGUAAUCUUUCAAUUCCAUGAGCGAUCUUCUCCUUAGUUCUUGCCGCAAGUGCACACGCCCGUCUGUGCGCACUUGUCGCAGGUAUCGGUACCCACGGUGCGGUUCUUGCCGCAAGUGCAAACCCCGGUUUGAGCGCACUUGUCGCAAGUGUCCACGCCCUCCACGCGGUUCUUCCCGCAGGUGCAAACCCCGGUUUGGGCGCACUUGUCACAGGUUGCCACUCCAACCGGGGCGGCAAAGUUCGCACCGCUGCGAGAGCAAAUCACCUUUUCAGUGAGGGAUGCAUGGAGAGAUUCGCGAGAGUUUCACCUGAAGUCUCCGGCGGUGCUCAGGAACGCAGCAUCAGCGAUCCUCUUGCCGCAUCUGCAAGUCACAGCUCGAGUUAAUUCGAUCGCCCUUUUAAGAAACUCUGUUUGUGAUUGUGACUAGGAGUCCUGGAGUGGAACAGGAGUAACAAGGAUGUGAUCCGAGAGAGCGAGAGAAACAAGAGCUAGAAAACAAAAGGUUCCUCUCAAUCGAGGAAGAAGUUUGACAAGAAUGAGACGUCAAUCACUUACGAGC
rnacentral:lncRNA from 1 species